rnacentral:lncRNA from 1 species
UCUUCAUCAACCUCAAGCCUAGAAGUUGUCAAAUCUCGAAGAGUCCCAAGUUGCCAAAUAGUCGACAUCUUCACCAACUACAAGACGAAGAGCAACCACCACGUGGAACUGCUCGUGGCCCAAACCCGAUCAACGUCAAGCCUCUACGACCCUUGAUCAACUCUCGUCUUCAAGCCUUUCAACAAAUCAAAACUUCUACCAAGUUCUUCAACAAGCUCGUGGAGAAUCAACAAGCACCAAACACAUGUGUCGAUUCAUCCGCUAUCAAGCCGAAGAACGUUCACCACGUGACACCUCUCGCGACCCAAAUUCGACCAAGAUCAAGCCUCUACGGCCCUUGGUCAACUUCCUUCUACAAAUCGUCAACACGAUAAGAAGUUCAAACUACAACAGUUCAAUUCAAGAUUAAGUGCUCGUCACCCUUAGAUCAAAUCAACGUCGGAGAUCAAAUCAGAGGACAUUCUUGUUAAAAGAAUACCCACAGAGAUUGUAACCCGCAAAUUCAAUCAAUAAAAAUAUAUUAUUUUGUACACGUGUCUUUCUGCAUGUUAUUCGUGUUUACACUCUCAACAACUGAUUCAAUUUUUCUUUAAAUCUUCCUGAUCUUUUUUCCUAAAAAGUUAGUUUUUUUUAUUCAAGGCUCUCAUGAAGGUUUAUGAAAGUAAAGUUGGGGAUUUACAAGAUGAGUGUGUUGGUAAUUGUGAUGCACUUCCAAUCUUCUUCCUACUGCCCUGUGUUCAAUAAUUGAUAAUAAUUUUGAGAAACUUAUCCAAACAUGAAGCUUUAGUUUUGUAUCCAAACCAUAACCUUCUUCAUAUCCAAACAUGGAUGCUAUGCAGCGCCUGACAUGUGCGUCGACACGUGGCGCUGUUUUAUUCCCACGUGCUAUUAUCAGCUCACAGUACUAACUAUCCUCAUUCACCCCAAAUGGAAUGUGAAAACCAUUUAAUCCUUUUUCUUUUUUAUUUAUUAUUAGUAAGCGCGUGCAAAAGUAUAGUGAUCGGAUGUGUGAUUGUUUGUCGCUUGUUUUAUGAUGAUUAUCUUUCUUGUAACAAAUCUUGUGAAUGUGAAUGCUUUCAAGAGAACAAAUUUUAUGAAUGAUAUGCCUAAAUUUUUGUACAAAUGGACGUGAAAAAAGAAAACAAAUCAAUUAUUCUUUUGCAAAUGCAGAUAAUCUUCAUUACAAUCUUGCAAGAGUAGAAGCUCCGACAGGGGAGAUAAUCUUGGAUAUACCUGAAUAUAUCAUUGCAAAGUAGUAAGGCAAAAGUCCAUCAAUAUAACUCUAGUCAGCCCCUAAACUGAUUUCGCCUCAUAUGUAUCCACUUUAACCCUUUCCAAAUCUACCAUGAGGGGUUCAAAGAGAAGAUUGCAUUUCACUUGAAUCUUUCCUUGAAAAGAAUCUCUCAUUAAACAAAUCUUUCUUAGACAUGUGUCGUCGUAAUUAGAUCUUUCUCGACAAGAUGUUUUCGCCUAGACAUGCAAGAAAUAUGAUCCUCGUCAAAUAGAUUAGUGUAUAGAGAGCACAUUGAUUUUAAUUCAACAUUCAAAUGUGAACACCAAGUCAAAAUAUUAGUCCUGAGCACCAAGUAAAUUCAAGAAUUCUAAACUUGGAUGCCAAGUUUAACACUAUUUGGUUCCACAUGGGAAAGAAGCUUGGUAAACAUGUCCCAAAAACACCUAAUAAGAGGAACCCUACCCGUUUAAGUCGCCCCGGCCCAAAACAUGUCCGCCUUGAAAACUUGCCAUUUCUUUUCAUACAUAGAGUGAAGACUGUAGUCGCUUCUUCUCCUCUCUCACAAAGAUUUCACUCACUCUCUCUGAGCUGCAAUGGCGGGCCUCCCAGUCAUAAGAAUCGGAGGCAAAGGUUCAUCUCUCUCCUCCUCCGCCGUCUACGCCGUCGCUAACGCCCUCGCUCACGUUACCAUCGACUCUUCCGCGCUCGACAAGCUCGCCUCCUCCUCCUCAUCCGCCGCCGCCAAUCUCAAGCCUCACCGGCUCCUCUCUCUCCCGUCCGUCGAAGAAUCCAGAGCCUCCCACGUCGUCCUCCUCGCCAAGCUCCUCUCCCUCUCCGGCAUCCGAACUGUUCUCCCUCUUCGAAUCGCCGACGCCCUAAAUUCCAAUUCUUCUCAAGACUUGGAGACUCUCGAUUUGACCGACGAGGAGGCUCUUGCGUUGGACAAGCUCAGGGACUCGUCUGCUUUGUACGGCGUCAUUUCGCUACUCGACCACCAAUCGGCGGCGCUGUCGACGGUUUCGGACGCCGUGGCGGCGCUCUCUUGCGAGGCGUUGAAGGCUGACGUGGCGGGGUUUAAUUCCGUUGACGCCGGGGACGGGUUGGCUUCGAAGGAGGUGAUCGGAGUUGCUAGUGAUUUGAAGGUUUUGUUGAACGGGUCCAAGUUAGUCGGCAAAGUGGAGGUUGAAGCUGUAUCGGAGAUUCCGAAAGUUCACGCGAGUCUGAGAGAGCAAGUGAAAUCUGUGCAUGCUAAGACUAGGGAGGAGCUGAAUUCUGGAGCCAAAAUAGGGAAAGGUGGUUCCAGGAGUGCCAGCUCCGAGACGACUGCAUUGCUGGCAUUGGCGUCGGCGCUGUUUCGGUUGGGGGUCUACAGUUUCCGGCGAGCCAAGCUGGAUUUGGAGGCAGUUGGGAGUGAGAGUGUGCGUCUAAGAUUGGUGGAGUUGUUUGAGAAGCAAUGUCGUAGUGGUGAAAGCUUGAAAAGUGGAUAUAAGUUGGUUCAGGAGUUGGCUUUAGAAGAUGAAGAGAAUUAUUUGAAGUUUGCUCAUGCAGUGAAUGUGUUGAUGGAGCUUGUUUGGAAGAUUGUGACUUGGGAGGCCAUAGCAGUGUUUGUGGCGCUUGAGGGAGCAGAGUUGACUGGGAAGGGUCAACAAAGUGGUGAAGCGAAUGGAGAAGUGAAUGUGAAAGCAGGGAAGAAGGGUGAGAAGAAGAAGAAAGCGGUUUUGGGGAAAGGGACAACUGUUAUGGUACAGUUGAUUAAAGAUAAGCUGCAGGGUGUGGGAGGAAAUGCUGCUGAUAGUUCAGAGAUGUUGGAAAAUUGGGUUAAGGAGCUUUUAUCAUUUUUCAACCCAAAGAGCUCUGAGUUUGAUGGGUUGUUGAACAAGGUGAAGGAGAUAGUAGAAAGCAAUGAGACCAGAAGGCUCCCUAAACUUCCAAAGGUAGGUGCAUUACUGGAAUUUUGCUUUCAUUUGUAUCUUAAAUGCUUUUUCUUUAAACUAUUUUGUUUCGUUGAUGGUUUGGAGUCAAGAAAAAUGAUACUUUUGUUUAGUAAGAGUACCUUCAAUUUGGAAAGGGCCAUUUUUCAGAGCUGGCCUCUAAAUUUAUAAUUUGUGGCAACUAUGACCUUGUCCUUUGUGCAAUAGAAAUAUUUUUAAGGAAAGCAGGAUCCUAACAGUUUCUUAGUAGAUUAUCAAAGGAGUUCAAUCUAGCUACACCUUAUAAUACUUGUCUGUAGAUUCUCACUGGAUAUUAUCAGUUUGUUAGUUGAUUCAGUUGCUUCUGCCGAACUUUCUUCUUCUUUAAUACUGGCUUUUGGAUUGUAAUGAAUGGGGUUACUAGCAUUCUGACCAUGUUGACUUAUUAUUCUGCAUGAUAGGGUACUCGUGACUUUGCAAAAGAACAAAUGACAAUAAGAAAGAAAGCAUUUUCGAUAAUAGAAAAUGUGUUUGAGAGGCAUGGUGCCACAGCCCUGGAUACUCCAGUUUUUGAGUUGAGAGAUACUCUCAUGGGCAAAUACGGGGAAGACUCAAAAUUGAUUUAUGAUCUUGCUGACCAGGUAAAAUAUCUCUAUCUCACCUUUUUUCAAUUCAAUUGAUGACUUGAAGUCCCUGCCUUUUUAGUUAUUUUCUGAGUUUUGCUUGUCAUGCUUCAUGUAAUGCAAUGUGAAGUGGCGUGGAAACAUAACAUUCUAUUUGUUUUUUCUGUAUUUAGCCAAAGACUAUGCUGUAUGUACAUCUGAUGUGCCUUUUGCUUGAUCUUGUUGGCAGGGUGGAGAGCUUUCCUCACUGCGAUAUGAUUUAACUGUUCCAUUUGCUAGGUAUGUUGCUAUGAAUGGCAUUACAUCCUUUAAAAGGUACCAAAUAGCAAAGGUCUACAGAAGAGACAAUCCCUCUAAGGGUAGAUACCGUGAGUUCUACCAAUGUGACUUUGAUAUUGCUGGCCAAAGUGAAAAGAUGGGGCCAGAUUUUGAGGCUGUCUAUGUGCUAACAGAACUUCUCGAUGAGCUGAAUAUUGGAGACUACGAGGUAACACUUUGUUUGAAGGCUGUCUUCUUUGAUGUGCCUCAUUUUGUACAAAAGGUUGUUUAAGUUGAAGAACUGAAUGGAUGAUAGUCCCACUGCUCCUUGUGGAUAAUAGGUCACUGAUAUCAGAUAUGGUUAAACUUUAUGUAAAAUUCUGAGUGGCAAUUACAUUAAAAAGCAUGAUUCAUGAUUGCAACAUAAUGAUAUUAUUUUAUUCUGAUAGUAGUAAAAAGAGUCGAAGCAAAUAAAUAUAUCUUGCUGCUAUGAAUAUGGAAACAAGCUAUUAUGUUUUUGAUACCCUUCACCUAUAUGUAGAAAUGAACUGCCACAAAAAUUUGAGUUCUCACCUUGUAAGAGGUGCUGUGCCAAUAUAACAUGUUUACUUAAUUUAAUUUAUAAUUGUUGAAAUGUUUUCUGAACUAAUUUAUAUACUUCAUAAGCCUAACUUUCUGGUUUAAGUUUAUUUUUAUAAUUGCCGGUUGGUGUUUCUUGCGCAGGUUAAGUUAAAUCACCGAAAGUUGUUGGAUGGAAUGUUGGAAAUAUGUGGAGUGCCUCCAGAAAAAUUCAGAACUAUUUGUUCUAGUAUCGACAAGUUGGACAAGCAAUCGUUCGAGCAAAUAAAAAAAGAAAUGGUAAAGUCUCAAAGGCAUAUGUAUUCCACAUCAUGUGGUUUUCUUAUAUAUCUGUCUUGGUUUAUGUGGUUCUUGGUUUAGUAUGCUUGCUUUGAGUUGUGUUUAUCUGUUAGUGCUCUGUGUUUCUUUGUUUUUCAUUUGUUGUCAACUGCAUGUGCUUCGUGUUUAUUCUCUCUUUUCAAAGUUUUCAUACUAUUUAUAUUCAUAGCUGGUAUUUUAGAUGAACUUUAAUGGAUGACAUGGCACCAUUUGUUUCCCUUAAGAGAUUAAGAGAUAUCUGGUCCUCCACCCUGCUUUACAUAGGACCAGCAAGUAUAUAUGAAUUCAGGAUCAUCAACCUAAAGCUUGUUGAUGAUCACUUUGCUUGUUGACCACAAGUAGUUAUGAGGAAGCCUUAAUAAAAAUGGAGGAUCACAUGUCCAAACACCUUAGUUGUAUUAGAAAACAUAUGGCUUUGUUAUCUGUUGUAUGUCUGCUUCAUCACGAGGAUUUACUACCUAAUUGGUAGUUUCCUGGUUAUAUUUUCCACUCGAUCCAUUUCUAACCAUGAAGUAGAGUGUUGGUCCUUCACCUGUCUUAUCUUCUAAUUAAUUGUUGAGUGUGGACACUGAAGGAUAUUUGAUUUCAGUCAAUGGGUAAACCAUUCAUCUACCAGAAUUUCUCAUUUACCUUAAAAACAGUUUAAUCAGUUGAUUAGCUCCCUUUUGCAAACGCAUUUGUUUGUCAUUUUGUGUGCUUUUCUCCAUGUUCAUCGUGUAGACCUAUAUACUUCUGUAGUUUUAUUGGUUAAUUUAGGAUGCGUAACUUGUUUCUUCUUAUGUGGGUCUCAUGAGGUUUUAUAUUUGGUAUAUAUAAUUUUUUCAGGUGGAGGAGAAGGGCUUAAGUUGUGACACAGCCGACAAGAUUGGUGCUUUUGUAAAAGAGCGGGGACAUCCAUUGGAAUUGUUAUCUAAGCUUAAACAGGAGGGCAGCAAGUUCUUGGAGAACAGUUCAUCUAUAGAUGCAUUGAAUGACCUCGAGAUCUUGUUCAAAUGUUUGGAGAAGUCACAGUGUAUUGGAAAAGUAGUUUUUGACUUGAGUCUUGCAAGGGGUCUUGAUUACUAUACUGGAGUCAUAUAUGAAGCCGUUUUCAAGGGUGGUGCACAGGUAAUAUUAUGUAGAUGUCAUUUGGAACUUUUUCGCAUUCAUUACCUACAUAAUCUGUGUCAUCUGACUCAAGUGCCAUGUGACACUUCAGUAAUAAUCUGAUUUUGCUUGUUUGCCAAAAAAAAAAGUGAUGUUGCCUUCCAAAAGAAUAUUUGAGGACAUUUAAAAUAACAGAAGUAGGAGUUGAUUAAAAUUUGAAAGCCAAGACUACUGCCUUAUCAUCCUAUCCUACCCCUACCAUUACUACAGUGGUUUGGGAUCCCAUUUCAUGAGUUGUUGCAACUUACUAGGGAUGGAUGCUGCUGCUCAUCCACAAUUUCCAUAUAGAUAUUUGUAUUCUAGCGAAGUACUAAGUAAUGCCCCAUUUUUGAGAGAGAUAGAGCAAGAACAUUUUCCCUUCCAAUAAUGUCACUGAUGAAGAAAUAGUGCAUCGCCACCUAACAAUCUAAAUUCAAAUGAAUGGUAGAAGUCAUAUUAAAAUUCUUCUGUGAUUUCUGUUUGGCAUUCCCUUAGGUGUUUCAAGGAUAAUAUAAUAAGUUUAUUUUGUCAUCAGAUGGGCUCCAUUGCUGCUGGUGGACGAUAUGACAACCUUAUAGGAAUGUUUGGUACAAAGCAAGUUCCAGCAGUUGGUGUCAGCCUUGGAAUUGAGCGAGUAUUUGCUAUAAUGGAGCAGAUCCACAAAGACCAGAAUCAGGUGACAUUUGACUUGUUUUUCUGUACUUGAUGAUUAAUUUUCCACUUAUAGUUUGGAUAACUUAUAUUGUUCAAUUAUAACUCAGUUGGUAGGGACAGCUCUUCUUUAUUCAGAAGAUCCCUUGAUCAAAUCCCUGUUCUCUCAGGGACACUAAUAAAAGAUGAAAUCAAUCUUGGAUUCGUUUGGCUAUACAUUCUUAGGGUUGAUCUCACUAAUGCCUCUUGAACAGUGUUGUCCUUGAACUUUAUAGCAUGUCAUAUUGGUCACUCAACUUUUUUGUUGUGUUUAGUUGAUCCAAGUCCCAAUUUCUGUCAAAACUUCUUAGAAUUAAUGAUACUCAAUGCUACUUGUACAUGUCUGCAUGGUUAAAGAUGAAUCAGUCAUUAAAUUUGAGUGGCGAAAAUAGGUAUAGAAGUGGAGAGGUGGGUUAGGCUAGUGAAAUAUGAAAUUACCCUUGGUUUACUUUACUGGUCAUGGAUUCAUGGGGCAAGUCAGAUGACAGUAUUUAUCCACUUAAAUAUUUUUAUUAUUACUAGUCUCAUCUUCUCUUUAAAUCUCUGUAAAGUUAGGAUUUGGACCAACUUUCAAGGCCAUGGAGUGCGAGUCAAGAUAACUUUUUGUUAAUCUAGCCAUUGUAUAUGCUCUUGCUGUCGGCCAUUACACUUGGCUAAAUGUCAUGCAUAAACAGUUGUGAUUUGUUCAUUGCACGAUCUGUUCUUACAUAUUUAUUUGCCUUUUUGGUAUCUUUACAGACAACCCGGGCAACCAAGACUGAGGUCCUAGUGAGUAUAUUAGGGGACGAUAUAGAACUAGCAGCAGAGCUCUCAGGUGAGUUGUGGAGGGGCAAAAUUCAAGCAGAAUUCUUGGCCAAUAAGAGAGUCACAAAGCACUUUGACCGAGCAAAGGAUUCGAAGAUCCCCUGGAUGAUAAUUGUGGGUGAAAAAGAGCAGAAUGAAGGGGUUGUGAGAUUGAAGAACAUUGCUGCCGGGGAAGAAAUCGUAAUUCAAAGAAGUGAUAUUGUUGAAGAACUUAAGAAACGGUUGAAUGCAUGAUGUUAGUUCUGUUUGUGAAUGCAUAGAAGAACCUUGAGCCUGAUUCACUUUCUAAUUUUCUGUGUUUAUGUAGCCCUUUCUACAUCAUUUUACAAGAACUUCUGGGUUGCAUAACAAGCAUUGUUAAAGAUGUUAAGAUAUACAUUUUGUUGAAGUUGAUAGGAUUUUGUGUUGCUGCUUGCCUAGAUGAAAAGCAUAAACUGGUCAUUAAACAAGAAGGAAACGAAGAAUACCACAGUGUUUAUUAACAUCAAUGCUUAUUGAGAAAUAGGACUUGAGAAUACAUAGUACGUUUGGUGAGCUCAACUCAGACCUCUUUCGCCAAGUAACACUACUCCAUCGUCUGGUUUGUCUCCAAUUCCUCAACUUCUUCCUCAUUUGCAUUCAGCUUUCCUAGAAUGGCAAUGAUUUCGUUGAUGGGCAAUGGAAUCAACUUGUCAAUCUUCUCCUUCAGGUUCAUGUAAUUCUCCGGGUCAUGAACUCUCACAUCUUCAAGAAGUCUACCAGAGUUUUGAUCCAAGACAGCUUGGGCAACGGCUCUAAUAGUAAGUUUGGCAGAACAUGCCUGCUCACUCAUAUGCUUCCCUGUUUUGCAGUAAAUCGCAAAGCAUUCACAAUUGUUUUCGAAAAGGUUGUAAUCACCAAAACCAUCUUGGCUGUUGAGCAAGUCUGUGGCACGGCUUAUAACUGCAGCAGGGUCAUCACAGCUUCCGGUGCUGCAAGUUCCUGAUCUUUUGAAGAGGAAAUGGUGAUAGGGGACUUCAUAAUCAAACCGAUAAAGCUCAUAGCCUGAAAGAAAGCAAUCAAGGCAAGAUAUGACUACUCCUCGAUGAACUUUUCGGUCAAAACCACAUUUUCCACAAGCAGGCCUCCGUCUCAGUUUAUUUGCUGGUUCCUCUUUUCUGGUUUUGGUGUAGUGGAUCACCUUGUCUGCCUCCACAAAUAUUCCUGAAACAUACAACAUACCAUAAACAAAUUAGACACGCUAUAAAUCUAUUCAAAACAAAAGUAUAGAUACAUGAUGUGUUGAAAGUUUGGCAAGUUAACUUCAGAUGAUUGAAACAAAGAUUCAAAGAAGUUACCGUGGUGGGAGUAAGACUUCCAUUUUCUGAAGCUGUAGAUGUGAUCUCCUGGCUGGAGGUUGCUCCUAUGAAUCUUGUUUGAGAUCAGCCCCAUCUCUCUUUUCUCUGUAUCUCUCAAAAUAUGUGAUUUGUGAGACUAUGGACCAAAAUGUGAUGGCAUACAUGGGGGAGGCUCCAUAAUAUAUAAAUGUUGAUUUGUGAUCUGAAGUGAAAUUGUGGUGGGGAUCUUGAUUUUCUGUACUUUGCAAAUUAAUCUCUAAGCACUUACAGGGGGCAGGUUAAAUAACGGAUUGUGGUUUUGUACUCCGACAAUGUUUUACUGUACAAUACUCGAUCUCGCAAUAAGCUCACAUUCAUUGUCCAUUCUCUUGGUUUUUGUUGGUAAGUUUUGAAAUUGGAACAUCAAAUUUCAUCCUUACUUGUUUUCUUUUCCUGUACAAUAAGAACAACCGAGGACAGUUAUUAAAAUCAAGCCGUCUUAUAUAGUGAAUAUAUAAUAUAUAUGGUUACAGGGAUAACAAGUACACUUAAAUAUAAGAAUCGUUAAGGUAGUUGGUUGCAUACUACUAAUUUUUGGACAUUGAUGUAGUUUAUAUUUGGUUUAUGGUUUAUGGUUUAUCGUUGAGGCAUGCAGCUACUUGCAUCAAAUAAUGAAUUCAAUAUAAAUGAGAGGCAGACCUAACUACUGGAAUUCAAAUCAAGAAAGAAUUGAAAGAGAAGAAAUAAAAGCAAAAUGGAAGUUUUGUAUUGACUGAUAAAAACCCUAGCUUUGUGGUUCUGUAUUCCACUGAUAAAUGAAAGUUGGCACCCUUGUGGCAUUGAACAAGUGAGAUUUUUUUUAACUUUUUUUCUUUUAUUCAAACGGGUAAUGUAUUGCUUAGACAAUUGCGAGAAUGCCUUUUACAUCAGAAAAUCGUCCUCUGCUUUAGUAAUCAUUGCAGAGGCUACAAGCAUCAAGACCAGCAAGCAAAGAAAAUAAACUUUAUACCUAAUUCCGAAGCAAAAUACUAGUUGUCUCGAACCUCAAUUGGUGGAGAUCAAAUAUACCAAGAACUAAGCGCAAAAGCCACUUUCAUAGCUCAGGCUAGCCAAUCCAAGGACUAACCCUUACCCUUGAUCUUGGCAUUAGGGCUAGUCUUCACAUCACUUUAGAUUAAGAAGGAGUCACAUAUGACCUUCCAUCUUGAAAGAGCACACCAACUUGUUCUUGCUGCCAAUAUAGGAGAUGAUGAGACUGAUAAAGUAAUUUAGGGUUCACAUUAAAACCAAUUAACAAUAGAUGAAGUGGCCUAAAUCUUUAUAAACCCACAAGCAAUGUCUCAUUUUCCUGAUGAGGGAUUCAUAUCUCAACAGGGACAUGUGUUAUUGUCCCACUGUUAGCAGUAUUUGCAUCAGCAAGAGGCACCUUCAACUGGCUAGCACCACAUACACAACCUUUUAAGAAGAAAUCUUCACCUUAUCCACUUAACUUGACUGCAUUCUAGCCAAAAAAAUCACAACUGCAGAUGCCGCCUUCUCAGGAACCAAACAGCGCACUACAAGGUGUUUCUUACGUUGUUGUAGAGAUGAUGGCAUGAGUCACGUCCUCUCAGCCUUCCUAGAUAUUCACAUCUCUAUGUCCUCAAUUUUUUGCAGUAAACGCAAACCAUGAGACGACACCAAGGUAAAAGUAAAAAAUUAAAGCUCUAGCUUGAGAUGGGACGAGUUAAUCCACAUUUCAUUCCAAUAUAAGUGAUCAUACCACAGAUCCCACACCGCCCUUACAGUUAUUUAUCAUGAAACUUCAAGAGCGGCUCAACCCAGACUUCAUGAAAAUAUCCCUGUCCAGCAGCAAGUUACCAAUAAGUAUUAGGUUAAGGGGAUCCUAAUAAAGCAAAGGAACCUCCAAAACCCUAAUCCACACCCUCACAUGUUAAAUAUGAACAAAAAAAAUAUGAGGGACAACAUCAUAGAUCUUUGCACAAACUGGAGCACGAUCAUAACUGUACGUGCCCCUCUAAGAACUUUGUUCUAAACUCAUGCAAUUUCAAAAGAGAUGAGGUAGAGGUCUUCCCUUUCUUGGACUCAUAGAGUCUUGUCCAUCACCCCAUGUACGCAUAAAGUGCGACUUGAACAUAGAAUGGUAGACUGCAUUACGGGUAACAGGCUUAAUUGUCAAGCAAAAAACAUUGGGUGAACCGAUGCACAAGGCUGCCACCAAUCUUACCGAUAUCCAGUGCAUCACACGCACCAGCCAAAGAAAGGUUGGUUGCAAAGCUAGUAGUGACGACAUCAAUAGAGGUCAUUUGGUAGAGACGUGAUGAGAAUGUCGAUAUGAGAAAACUACGGCCUACUGUGCGCAACUGGUUUAAGAGAAAAAAUUCUCUAAGGGUUUUAUUACAACGAGGGUAUGAGAGUUUAAAAUAGGGUAAAAGUUAUAAAUGGCCCCCGUGAUUUGGGAUCAUGGCUACGUGUGUCCUCGUGAUUUAAAAAUGUCUAAUGUUAGUCAUCGUGUUUUACAUAUUGACUAAUUUUAGCCUAAUUAUAAUAUUCCUUUUAACACCGUUAAUAGGGUUUUCAUGUAUUGAUUAUUACCCAAGAAUACCCUUGCCUCUUUCUCUCUGUGCUUGGAGUUUUCUGUUAUUUUUCCCAGAUCUGUUUAUUUUUAUCCCAUCACCAUGGUUGAUCAUUUAAAUAGAAUUUUUUAUAGGAAGCUUGAAUUGCAUAUAAGAUAUAAUAUAUAAACUCAAUAUUAUACCUUUAUUGCUAAAUUACUAUUCAAAUCGAUCGUGAGAAUUUUAGAGCGGGGAGUUCACAAAAUACAAACUUUCUGCAAUCAUGUACAGGAAUAGAGUUUUUUUUUUUUUCCAUUUGAUGAAUACAUAGAGAGAGUAUUUAAUGAAUAAUCAUUUGUUUUCAUAUAUGAUGUACAACACAAAGGUAUAUAAGUUGAUUAUAUGUUUAAAGGUAAAAGAUGAAAUUAACUUAUCAUGUGACGCACAAUAAUAUAUGACUUUAUUAACGGUGUUAGACGAAAUGUUAUAAUUAGACCAAAAUUAGUUGAUAUAUAAAACACGAGGACCAACAUUAAACAUUUUUAAACCACGAGGGCAAACAUAACUAUGACCCUAAACCAUGGGGACCAUUUAUAAUUUUUACCCUUUAAAAUAAGAAGCUUUGGAUACAACAAGAAGAUUUGGAUGAUACAUUAUGAUUGCUCUGCUAUUUUCAAUUAGGGUAUGAUUCUAAUGUCUUAAUUAAAAUCUCGAAUCUAGCAAUUGAGGGCUCGAUUAUUACGGCGAAUGGAUCGAUUCUUGCGAGGAUUGUGGCGCAUCGGUCGGAGCUCCCUUUCAAGCUGGACCUCCCUUUCAGGCUGAACCUCCAUUCUCCAAGCCUCAUCACCCCUUCUUCAAGCUGCACUUCCAUUGCUAGUCUCACUAUUGGGAUGUCCUAAUAUCACUAUUGUGUUGAGAUUGUUACUAAAUUUUUUAUGGCAUGUAAUUUCUUUGUGAUACCCGUAUUUGAAAUUUUUUUGCACGUAUCAUUCAAAAAUUUUGAAUUUCUUGUAUGUGUAUCUAUUUUAAGAUGAGCUGAAACCACAAUUUGAAUGUCGGUUCUACAAGAGUUCUAUUGGAGUUGUAUUAUUUUGAAUUUGAAGAAAAAAAAUCAAUGACCCCUAUGUCUUGUUGAAAAGGUGCAACAGAAAAGCUAUUGAUCUCUCGUAGGUUGACCUUGAGCAUGUGUUUUCCAUCAUAAAGCGGACUCCAUAGUGCAAACCUUAGGGAAUGCGUUGUAUGAUAGAACAAGAUGCUCAAGCAUUGAACAACAUUUCAAUGAUCUUGGAAGUUGUCCUUGUAGUUGAUUAUGACUUAUGACUAAUAUCUUGAUUAGAUAGACUCAUGAAGUCUUUGAUAAUGUUUUUGAUACACCAACGUGGUGGAAUAAGACUAUCAAGCUAUCAAUCAAUAGUUCAUUGAACAAGAUCAUGUUUUCAACUUAAAUCAACAAAGUCAUGUUUUUGUUACUUGCAUCUUUUAGUGAUAUGAAGUGAAGAAUGAGGAAAUUAAGUUUUUUAGAAAAUGUUCAAGAUUUAAACUUUAUUUUCUUCUGUGUGGUCAUGUUAGUUGUUACGUUCUACAUAUAUUCUAGUCUUUGAUAAUAUUUUUGAUACACAACGUGGUUGAAUAAGAUUAUCAAGCUAUCAAUCAAUAGCUCUUUGGACAAGAUCAUGUUUUCAACCUAAAUCAAUAAAGUCAUGUUUUUGUUGCUUGCAUCUUUUAGUGAUAUGAAGUGAUGAAGGAGCAAAAUUAAUUUUUUUAGAAAAUGUUCAAGCUUUAAACUUUAUUUUCUUAUGUGUGGUCAUAUCAUGGUUUAACGUACUUGUAGGAAACAUUUGAAAGUUCAAAGUAAAUAUUGAAAGUAAGAUGAAAAGGUUUAGAUCUAGAGUUGAAAGGGCCUUCGGCACUCUAAGGGAAAUGGAAAAAUAACAACUGGUUUGGGAUCUUGCAUAAAUUCGAUCUUCAUUCAUUGCACUAUUGUUAGAAUUUUUUUAUUCAUAUCUUACUGAGAAUUGGAAACACCUGUAGGUUUUUAUUCAGGAAGCGGAUCUAGGAUGAUGCAUUCUUAGCCACAGCAGGAGAAUCCAUUUUAUUUAAGUAUGAGAUGUAUGAGCUAGAUUUCCUUGGCAUAUAUGUUAUGAAGUUAUUCUGUUGGAGAUCAAUCCCUUUGAUGCUCCCUUAGCCACAACUGAAAAACAAUGAUGCUACACAGUUCUGUGUAAUAUUGCUUGGGUAGAUACUAACUUGCUGAUUCUCCUUAAACAGAUCUAGAAUGGUGGUAAAUAAUGAUUUUGUUCUUAUUUUUUGCUGUUAUAUGUAAUUGGAAUUUGGGUUGUUUGAGCACCAAGAUGGUAAGCAACAACAAUGAAAUUAAGAGAAAAUUGCUAAACUUUUUUUUCUUGAGAGUUUUUUUUUGGAUUUUUUUUUUGGAGAGUUUGGCAAAAACAUUAAUGACAAAAAUGAUGAAGCUGCCUGCCAAAGUGAACAUGUCCAUAUAUCUAGUGUUAUACUAACAUGAAAUUGGGCAUUGCUUCCAUCACUUUUAACAGAGAGGGCUGUAACAUCAAUUUAGGCUGCUUUAAAAAAUAACAGAAACCUGAGUUUAUCCUAAGAAGGAUAACAUAAACAUAAGUUUAUCCCAAAAUUGGGUAUCCAAAAAAGGAGCUAUUUAUCCAAUCAGCAAGAGAUCACUAUAUACAAGCUUCAAGAGACUUCAUAAUCGCUCCCCAAAUUGAUUUGGUUGAUAGGGAAAAGGCUAGCUAUUGUACUCGAUUGCGAUGGCCACAAGUUGGUGGGAGAGAUUACAUACAUAGCAGCUUAUGCACUGCUUAUUUGAUUCUAGUCUUCACACUUGAAACUCUUUGUUUAACCAAGCAUAGUUGAUGCUAUGAUAUUAAUUAUUAAGAAAAAAUACUGGUCACUCCAUUAACUUUCAUGCACUCGACAGUUUACUCCAAUAUCUUUCAAUUUCAAUCGAUCACUCCUCGAAUUAUCCAAUGUCACACAAUUGGGUACAUCCGUUAAGUGGCCAUCCAAAUUAGUGGUUAAGUUGUUGACGUGGCAAGUUCAUACGCGAUGACCAACUUACCAACAAAAAAGUUGGAGUACCGGGCUUGGGCCUGAGUAAGUGGGUCAGCCCAAAUCUUCCAAGUACAAAGAUUGGUUUGACUACUCUUUGAAAAAGAGGCUCAGGACUCGACCUACUCGAUCUGGCUGACCGAGGUUCGUUGAGUGCGGUCUAGGAUUGACGCGGCGGUCUGAGGUGAUGGCGCGACGGUUUGAAGGCGGGACUUCGAUCUGAGCUGGGUGGGGGAUCGCCGUGUGAUCAAAAUCUGAAUUUGACUGAUCGAUGAAAGUUUAUGGUCGAAUGGAUUGGAGGGAGUUUCUGGAGUGUGGAUAAUUUUUGUGGGGAGUAGGGAUGGGAGGAAAGGGCUAGGGUUAAGGUUCGGAGAAGCUGUGAGAGAGAUGGACUAUUCGAAGCUUGAAGAAGGCGAUGCUUGUUCUUCUCAAAUCAAUGAAUAUGAUCCCAAUAUCGACCUUGAUGUUGCUCUUGCUUACAUUGUAAGACCUGUAUAUGUGUAUUUAAUCAUCUAUGAUUUUCUCAGCUACGUAUUAGUAACACUAUGAAUUUUGGUUUUGAGUUGGUUGAAUGAAUUUAUGGGGGAUCCUAGGAGAUUGGUGAACAAGGUACGAACUCGUGCUUGAUCUUCAAGACAAGUUUAUUUAGGUAUUGGGUAUGUCGAACAAAAUUUGUUCUUGGUAUUUUCUGGGUAAAAAGCUUCAGCUCAAUCUUUAAGCAAAUCAGAGUUGGAUAUGGGUAACGGGCAAUCAGAGUUUGCUCAAUCACCAUAUCGUUGCGUACUCCUCUAUUAUUAUGACUUCCUUUCAAGAUAUCUUGCAGAGUAAAACUACUACCUUUAAAGACAUCCGUGUCAUUUGUCUCACAUGCAUCUGUGUUGUAGAAAAUGUUGUUUUUCAUAAUACCAAUUGACGAAAUUAACACUUAGUUUUCUUAAGACACUCAUUUAUUACAGGCCCGGACCUGAGGGGAGGCUGAAGAGGCGGCCGCCUCAAGUCCAAAAAAUCCGGCCAUUUGGGGGCAAAAAAAAAUCCAUGGAAGCCGAAGCUUAAAAUCUGGGUUUUAGUUUUAUUUUGAAAUGAAAAACAGAGGAGGAGAUGAGAAAUGGUUGGGAUUGGAAGAGAAGAGAAGAGAAGAGAAGAGAGGGAGAAGGGGGGGGGGGGGNNNNNNNNNNNNNNNNNNNNNNNNNNNNNNNNNNNNNNNNNNNNNNNNNNNNNNNNNNNNNNNNNNNNNNNNNNNNNNNNNNNNNNNNNNNNNNNNNNNNNNNNNNNNNNNNNNNNNNNNNNNNNNNNNNNNNNNNNNNNNNNNNNNNNNNNNNNNNNNNNNNNNNNNNNNNNNNNNNNNNNNNNNNNNNNNNNNNNNNNNNNNNNNNNNNNNNNNNNNNNNNNNNNNNNNNNNNNNNNNNNNNNNNNNNNNNNNNNNNNNNNNNNNNNNNNNNNNNNNNNNNNNNNNNNNNNNNNNNNNNNNNNNNNNNNNNNNNNNNNNNNNNNNNNNNNNNNNNNNNNNNNNNNNNNNNNNNNNNNNNNNNNNNNNNNNNNNNNNNNNNNNNNNNNNNNNNNNNNNNNNNNNNNNNNNNNNNNNNNNNNNNNNNNNNNNNNNNNNNNNNNNNNNNNNNNNNNNNNNNNNNNNNNNNNNNNNNNNNNNNNNNNNNNNNNNNNNNNNNNNNNNNNNNNNNNNNNNNNNNNNNNNNNNNNNNNNNNNNNNNNNNNNNNNNNNNNNNNNNNNNNNNNNNNNNNNNNNNNNNNNNNNNNNNNNNNNNNNNNNNNNNNNUUUUGUACGUAUUUCUAUGAGUGUUCAUUUUUUCACUUAUGUUUUUAGAAAAUGACCAAAUAACAAAAAAAAUUAUGAGGGUUUAAUCGCUCAAGUUGAAGAGAAGUUUAUAGUAAUCUAAGGCGUAUGCAACCCUUGCUGGAGAUAGAAAUAGAUGUCAAGAAAUGAUUCGGUAUGUCCGGAAUGAAAUGAUAAGUUCAUAAUAUAGUUUUGUGGUAUGAAACCAUAGUUUUGUGUAUUCAGUUGCCAACUGAGUUGAUAGUUGGAAUGGAUUUGUAGACUUUUUUAUAAUGGAAAGUCUAAAUCGCACCCGGUUUAAAUUCCUCGAUCCGCCCUUGGUUAGUUUCUAUAAGAGCAGAUGCAAUGUGGGAGUGAUUGGUGGGUUAGAUGAUAGGUAGGAUCAAUAUAUGCAAUGCACCAAUGCAAAAUUGAUCUGGGUUAAUCGUGGGACCCAUGUAGGACCUAGCUAACCAGACUAAUAAGGGGAGUAAUCCUUGCUCCACGGAUUGAUCUGGGGUAAGGGGAAGUGCGGCCCAUAUUCAAUUAGCUUGUCAAUUGUUGCACACCCUGUGCAUUCCCAACGGGGACAGACAAAAAAAUUGCCACUUAUUCAGGCUUUAAUAUGAGCCAUUAGAUCUUGAUAUUUUUAUCAUGUAAUAUAUUUUGGUAAAACAUGAAUAGUAAUUGGUCCUUGGAUUGGUCUCAUUGUUGUAUUAUCGAAUCAAGGACUAAGGACUAAGGACUAAGGACUAAUUUGGAUGAAUAGUGCAUUAAUCCGGGUUGAGGAUUGGUCCAACCCACUUAAAAUGGGUGCAUUUGCUCUAAGAAGACCAAUUUGAUAUGCUUAGUAUCCUAUAAGAAGACCAAUAAAGUAUGCCCAUACUUUAUGUCCUUAGGAAUGCCAAUUGUGAUAGAGAAUGAGCUUUCACAUAAACUUUCAUGCUUUAUAUUUUCUAAUCAGUUAAACAACUAUAAUGCUACAACAAGUCUUUUAUAAGUCAAACUCAUGACUUCCCACUUAUAAAUGAGACACUAUGCCAGUAGACCAAAUGCUUUAUUUUAAGUUUUUUAUUUUAUUUUAUUUUAAUGUUUAAUGUAUCAAAUUCAAAUUUGAAUUUUAAGCUUUUAAUUUUCUCUACAUAUUUAGAAUAAAGAUGGUCUGUCUGUAUCGGUUUUGUCUAAUUGUCUUGGAAGUUGUAAUUGAAUCAGAAUUUAAUAAAAAAAAUUCUACAACUAUGUAACCUAUUGAUCUUUUUUAUUAAAAUUUACAAAUGCUACAACAGCCUCCCAUCAAGCCAUAACCAUUAAUGAAAUAGUAGAAUAAGACAGAGAGAGAGAGAGAGAGAGAGAGAGAGAGAGAGAGAGAGAGAGAGAGAGNNNNNNNNNNNNNNNNNNNNGAGAGAGAGAGAGAUCAUGCCUAAACCCUACAUUGUGAGAACAUCCCAAAAUACUAUUAAGAGUCUCUAAAUAACCUAUGCAUUCUAACAAACAUCAUUUAACAAGGAGUGGGUAAUUGGCUACCCUAUUUGCUUUAUAUCUUUGACGACACACUAGAAAGACAAUGUUCAUAUAAAGCCAUAUAUUGUUAUUUUUAUCAGCAUCCCCACUAAGUUGUCACUGGAUAAUAUCUCGCUGUUUCAUUAGAGCAGACAUGACACGCUGAGUGCCAACAUUUGACGAAGCAAGAAACUCAUUGUUUCAUUAGAACAGACAUGACACACUGAGUGCACAUACCAUGAUAUAACCCAUGUCUCCAAGUAACAAAGUUCUCAUGAAUUAUUAAAAAUAAAAAGUAAACUACAGUUACAAAACUAAAACACACACGACCCCGAUUUGACCUAACUUCAAAACCCAUACCCAAUACCAUGUAAAAUGUGGGAAAUCCUCACUGGCCCAAUACAAUUCAUGUCCUGUCUCUAGCGUCGCACAACCACCCACAUCACGCCUUCCCUUGUCGAGCCCUGACCACCGUUGAAGCCACAUCUUUUGCCAAAUUUGAGAUGAUAACACCCAAUUACCAAAUACCAGAUAUGGUAGGAUUUCUCUACCACUGAUCAACUUAGAUUGAAUCGAUCUACCCCCUUCUGUAAACCCAGAAUAGAUCGAUCUCAUAUCCCAACUUCCCUUCGCCGCGCAACCAACUUCUCUAUCGAAUCUUAGCGUUGCGACACAACGAAUAUUUCAUGUUUCUCCCUUCCACUUUUGUCCUCCACCGUCGGCUAUGGACACUCUUUUGGCCAUAUGAACUUUUGUUCCCCAUUCUUCGUACGAGUUUUAGACGCAAAGCCUCACCAACCACUAGUAGAGACACUAAGAGAGGUGCUCACAGUUGUCUAGUUCGACGACAAUGUCACUAGGACGUGUCGCCGAAAGGUGAAGAGAACUUGGGAAAGUUAUUAGGGGACGCGGCUAUGGUUUUUUUUCUCCAACUUGAGUAUUUGUACAUUGUUGACUAUUUGCUUUUGCUUGCCGAUUUUCAUUUGAUUUUGUUUCACUCGGAAGAUGAUGGUCAUGGUAUUAGUUUUACAAGUUAGAAAAUAGGGAACAAAACUGAGAAGUGGCUUGAAUGUGUAUAGUUUGGUACAAGGACGAAGAUUAUGGAUUAAAAUGUGUGUAUUGAUUAAGUAAAAUAAAGGGGACAAAAGAGGAAUUUGAGGACAAAAUAUGGACAAAAGUUUUAAGAGGUGUGUGUCAAGUAUAUAUGAGUAGUAUGUGGUUGGUUAAAGUGUUUAACUAAUAACUUUAAGGUCAUGAGUUCAAACCUCAAUAGACAUAUAUAUGUAGGGUGUGUGAGUUAUUAAUAAAAAAAUUAUUUUAAAAAAAUAUGUGGUUGUUGCAAGGACAGUUUGAAUCGAUAAAGGAAAAUAAUGAUAGAGGCACAACUUAGCAUGUUCACACAUAAAGCAAUAUAUAGAUAGUUUUUAUUCACACAAACCAAAUUUCUCAACACACCCUCAUUUUUUCCGUAUUGCUUUCUUUGAUAUUGGUCCCCUCAAAGCCCUAGGACCUAAUGGCCUCCAUGCUAUUUUCUUUCAAAAGAAUUGGGAUUUGGUAGGACCUUCCUUGUUUGAGGUAGUGUAUGAUUUUUUCUAGAAUGGCUCUGAUCUUUCCCAAAUUAAUCACUCCUUUAUUGCUCUAAUUCCCAAGACUGAUUCACCUGAGAUGGUGCAUCAUUUCAGGCCUAUUAGCCUUUGUAACGUUGUUUAUAAAAUUAUUACCAAAAUUAUCAUACAAAGGCUCCGACCAUUAUUACCUCAGUGUAUCUCGUCUAAUCAAGGGGUCUUUGCCCCUGGAAGGUCUAUUUUUGAUAAUAUUCUUAUUGCUCAUGAACUCUUUUCUAAUUUCUCUAAAACUAAGAGCAUAUUUAGAAAUGCUAGCCAUUUUUAAGUUAAAUUUUAGUCAAAUAGCUAAAAUGUCAUUUUGGCUAGCCACUUUAGAAAUGUUGUUGUAUUAAUGCUCUCUAUUUUAGCUAGCAUUACAUCAACAUUAUUCUUCAAAUAGAAAUUAAAUAGUUUAAAUAUAUUUAUAUAUCACAUAAAAUAUCUUACAAGAAAUGUAAUAAAUUAUAGCUAGCCUCAUUUGAGUUAUCUCACUAGCUGUAUUUAGCUAGCGAGAUAGCUAAAAGUUAUAAUAUCUUAAGUUUGGCUAGUCUGCUGGAGCUCCUAAAACAUCCAAAAAAGCUAAACACGCUCUCUAAAAUAGCUAAAAAAUAGAGAGUCUGUUAAAGUUUCUCUAAAGCUAAAACGGGUGCUAUGGCAAUCAAGCUUGAUUUGGAAAAAGUUUAUGACUAUUUAAAUUGGGAUUAUAUUCGACAUUGUCUUUCUUCUUUUGGUUUCCAUCCUAUCUAGAUUCAAAGAAUUAUGAUGUGUGUACAAAGUGUUUCUUUCUCCAUUCUCUUAAACGAAAAAAGGGACGGCUUUUUUCGUCCUUCUUGAGGAAUUCGUCAAGGAGAUCCUUUGUCUCUGUACCUGUUUAUUAUUUGUAUGAACCGUUAAUUCGAUACCUCAAUAAUCUGACUAUUAAUGCUAAAUCUUAAGUUGGUCUUCUGUCUUCUCCUAAAGGUUUUCAGAUUCCUAACCUUAUUUUUGCGGAUGAUUGUCUUAUUUUUGGAAAAGCUACUACCACGGCUGCUCGCCAUAUUAAACGUAUUUUGGAUAAUUUCUCUCUUCAUUCCGGCCAACAAAUAAAUUAUCAUAAAUCUAUUUGUUAUUUCUCUAAUAAUCUUCACAGUUCUACUAAGCUUAUUUUGACCAAUAUUUUGGGCAUACCUCAUAAAUCUACCAUUGGUAGGUAGCUUGGUAUUCAUAAUAUUGUUUUUUGGAAAGAUCCUGUUAAUGCUAAUGAGUUACUUUUGCGAAUGCAAAAUACUUUGUCUGGUUGGAAAGCUAAUACUCUCUCCUGUGAUGGGAAGCUUACUCCUAAAAGCAAAUUUGUCUGGUCUUCCUAACCAUGUCCUGUCUUGUUUUAAGUGUCCUAAAAAAUUUAUACUAAGCUUGAUAAUGAAUGUCGUAAAUUCUUUUGGGGAUCUUCUUCUCAUGUGGUUGCUUGGGACAAAGUUUGUACUCCAAAAUCUAAAGGAGGGCUUGGUGUCCGACCAAUUGGACAUUUUAAUCAAGCUACCCUUGCUAAAUUAGCAUGGAAAAUUUUGACGGAUCAUUCUAAUUGGUGGGUACGUAUUAUCCACCAAAAAUACUUAUCAAGAGAUUCAUUGUUUACAGUCUGCAAGAAGCCAUCUAAUUCUCUAGCUUGGAAAGGGAUUCUUGAUAGUCGACAUUUACUUUCUCAAAGGCUCCGGUGGAUUGUUAGGGACGAGUCCUCCAUUAAAUUUUGGACUUCUAAUUGGGUUUUUCCUUUUCCGUUACUUAAUCUAAUCCCUAAGAAUCAACAGUCCCUUCUUAAUCUUGAUCUUACUGUAGCAAAUGUUUUAACUAAUGGUCAUUGGAACUUGUCUUCAGUUAGCUCCUUUCCAGAUGCUGACACUAUUGCUUCUAUUACAUCAAUCCCUUUUCCUCUUUUUCAUACUCCGGAUGAAGCUGUUUGGUCCUACUGGCCAUGGAAAAUUUACUAUCAAAUCGGCUUCUGACCUUCUUCAAGCUAAUACUCUUCCGUAUCCCCGGCAAAAACUUCUUAAUUACAUGUGGAAACUUAAUCUCCCUCCUAAAGUUAAACUUUUUGCUUGGUUGCUAAUUUCUAAUCGUCUUAAGACUCGUGAUCGACUACAUCGUUUCAAUCCUACUAUUCUUUUACAAUGUCUCUUCUGUGCUCAUCAAUCGAAAUCAGUUGAUCAUUUAUUUAUGGACUGUUCUGUGACUUCUGCUGCUUGGUCCCUUUCGGGUUUUCCGCUCCUAGCUAUUCCCAAUAUUUCUUCUCAUCCUCCUAAUUUUUUACAUUGGCUAGAAACGUUCCUUGAUCAUCCACAUAGAAAUGUUUGGCUUUCAAUUUUUUUUUUAUACUUUAUGGUGUACCCGUAACGGGGUUAUUUUCCGUAACCAGUCUUUUUCCCUGCUCAAAUUGUUUCUGGGGUGGCAAAACAACUCUCCCUUUAUCAACAAAAUAAUCUUGAUAGAUCUCACCUUCAUGCUCACCCUCCUUCUCCCCAUAUUAAAUGGCAUCCUCCCCCUCCAAAUAGUCUUAAAGCCAAUUUUGAUGGUUCGGUGCUUCCUCUUUCCCGCGCUGCUGUUGGUUUUGUAGUUCAUAAUUUUGAUGGCCUCCCAAUUCUUGCUACAAGCCAAAAUCUUGGUCGGAUGGACAUUCUUCUUGCAGAGGCUGUUGCUCUUCGUGCUGGCCUACAGUUGCUUGCUACCUACACUAAUCAACCAAUUAUUGUGAAAGAAGACUCUAAGCUUCUCCGGGAUGCGCUCAAUGUUCGUUGUCAGAUUCCAUGGCGCCUUGAAGUGUUAGUUCAAGAUAUCCGAGCUUUAUCAUCCCAUUUUCAGUCUAUUUCCUUUAAACAUGUUUGGAGAGAAGCAAAUUUUUUAGCUGAUAGUCUAGCUAAAUUAGGACACUCUUGUACUAGUCCUCAGCUAUGGAUUUCUUCUCUUCCUCUUUCCUCGGCUCCCGCCUUCCAGCUUGAUCUUUAUGGGGGCGGGUGUGCGCGAGGGUUUUCUUUGUAAUUUGUUUCUUAUCCAUCAAAAAAAAAAAAACACACCCUCAUUUUUUAGACAUUUUUUCAAUGCGGUUUUACCCUUUUAUUGAAGACGAACAAAAAGAAAACUAAAGAAACAAAAAAAAUUACAAAAACAAAAACUUUCACCUAACUGGAGAUGAGACAACAAAGAUCCCACAUUCAUUAACAAAACAAGUAAUUUAUCCAUCCACUUAAAAAAUUUCUCAUCCUCAAUAUUUUUUUUAUGGAUUUGAUUGGUCAAAGUAAUAAAUUUGAAUGCUAAGCUUUCGAAUUUCUGUACAUAUUUACGACUCUAAAAAAUAUGUAGUAUGCAAGCUUAUUAGUGAUAUAAAAUUUGCAUACUGUUUUCGAUUGAUUUGAAAAUCUCGGAGGUUAUUCAAACGAGAAAAUUAAAAAAAAUUGGUAGUAUUGAUCAUAGUAAUAUUUUCAUACUACCAUGCCUCCUAUGUACUUACAUGAUAUUCCCGACAUGGAGUUAAAAUAGGGAUAUAAGCUAGUGGGGGCAUUCUCUCGUUUUUCUCCUCGAAAGAAGGAAGUAGGGUUUGGAAAAAAAGGUGAACUGCUUCGCUUUUCCAGCGCCCCCCCUAUGGUGCCAACGUUAGGCCUUCAGCCUCAUCGGUGUAAGUUGGGUGCGACCAGACGGGCUGCCUUGGUUCUCUAGUGGUGGUGAGUUUCAAUGGUCAAUUUCAUGAAGGAGGACAUAAACCUUUGCUUCCUUCGAUGUAAGAGGGUCUCUGCAUCUCAGGCAAUAGAUCUGGCCUCGGGGAAGAGAUGGAUCCUUAAAGUUUUAAAGCGGUAUCUUGCGCCAAGGUUGAGAAUAGCGGUGUCUAUGCGAUUUCACAUAUCACCUCUGGAUCAAGCCGAUGGCUUUGCGGUGAGGUAGAGUGGCGGUCAGAAUGGAUUAUAUUAGGGAUCCGAUGGCGGAGGUAAAACAAGUUAUGUGGCGGCAUGUCAUACCCCAAUUUUCGAAAGAUAAAUUUCAAAAUUUUGGCAUGAUAUAUCCUAAAAUAUUAAAAUCCCAAAACUUGUUUCAACAAAAAUCAAGGAAAAUAAACUCAAUGCGUAAUGUAAAUUUACACACAACACCAAAUUGAGUUAAAUUACAAUUCCUUGUUUACAUAACUUGAGAACAAGAAAAAGAAACUCUCACAUGAGUUUAAUAAAUCAUAACCCAGUGUAUAUAAAAAGAAUAUACAAUGAACAACUAAAACUCAACAAAAAAAACCCUGUCACUAAGCCUCCACCUCAACCCUGCUGAUCCUCACCUGCAGGUCUAACCCCUACACUAAGAAAUGGUGCACCGGGUUGUAAACAACAAACCCGGUAAGUUAAAAAGCUCGUAUGAGUAAACUCAAAAACAACACAACAUUUAAUCACAUCCAAUAUUCACAAGAGAGAUUGGAUCAAUAAUUAAAAACCACACAUCUAACACAUUACCCAAGAAAUGUACCCAUGAGUCCCAGAUAUUUAAUAAAAUACCCCUCAUGACCUACAACAACACUAUGUGUACCAAUAGGUCCCAGAUACUAUACAGUAUCUCCCAUGACCUACACUAACAGAUGGACUAGAGCUCUAUUCCUAACUGCAACCAAUCACCCGGCCAAAGGCUUGGAACCCGGUUUGACUGUCUAAUAUCAAACACAAAAAUGAUAAAUAGCAUCUUAACCGCAACCAAUCACCCAAAAAGGGCUUGGAACCCGGUUUGGGUAUUUAUCCAACAAUCAUAAUAAAUUUCACAACCUUAUCCUCAACAACACAAUAUCACAAUUAUUAUUCUCAACAACAUAAUAUAUAUCACAUCAUUAUUCUCAACAUCACAAUAUAAAGAAGACUUGUUUUUAUCUUACCUAUGAGCCGUUGGCGAUCAAGCUCAUAUAUUUUUUUUAAACAAUUAAAAGCAUAAUAUUAAAACCAACAUCAUCAUCAUUAUCAUUAUCAUUAGGUUCAAAUGUGAACCUUGGUGAGAUUUACUCACCUAGAUAUCCCGCUGCGUUUCCGCAAAACACAAGAGCAAGCCAACUCACAAUUUCACAAAUCACCUAAAAUAACACACAUAUUAACCUUAAUAACAAACACAACAAGGAUCAAAGUACUCUUAACUUAAAGGUUGCCUCCAAGAAGGGAAAUCCUUCCUCCAAGACCUCCCAAGGUCAUUGAACACUCAACAACAACCAAACUACCUUCAAGAUCAAACUUUCUAAGUUUUCGAUCUAAUGAACACAAUUAAACUUAAGUCCUAGCAUGCCAACCUUGCUUAAAAUCUAGCCAUACUACUACUCAACAAGCUCACAACAGCAAGGACUAGCUAACCAUAGGAAACUAAGGGCGCCACUCAGCCGUACGCGCCGCCACAGGCAGCGGCGAGUGGGCCCCACGCGCCUCCUUAAACUUCUGAAUUUGAGAAAACUCCCAACAGCAAAGUUGAAGCUUGAAGCAAGGGGAACAACUUUCAUACCUGAGACUUCGACCAAAAAUGGCCGGAACCGGCCGGAAACCGCCCCGAACAGUGACCAGAAAAUCAAUGACAAAAUCUGCAAAACCGGCCUCAAAACCUUAAAAACUUGCUUCAAUCUAUGCCUAAACACUACCAGGGGAAGGAGAGGAUCAAGACUCACCUAAGGAUGUACCUCGUUGCCGCCGUAUACGGCAGCUCCGACCGUGGCACAGCAGCCCCUUUUCCGGCUACUAAGCUCCGGUUCCGGCGUGCUACACCGAGCAGCAGCUGCCCAGCCUUGGAGAGGACGCUUGUGGAAGCCGAACGGGACCGGUGGCGGUCCAAACGGUGGCCGGACGGCGGAGCUAGCUCCGGCAAAAAUUUGGUCCUUGGGGGAGCUCGAGAGAGGAAGAGAGGGAAGGAAAAGAAGAGAGAAAAAAAGAGUGAGGUGAGUGAGGAGAGAGAGAGAGAGUGCUGUUUUAAGUGUUAGGGUUUCCAAAAAUAACCCACACACAUUUUCCUACUUAAACACUUUCCACACUCGGAACCUAACUUCCUUUUACCACAACUUUCUCUCCCAACUUCCGAUUUAAGCAUGCCACGUGUCUACGAACUCGUAUCGACAACCUCUACAACUUUUAUGAAGGAAGUUUUCGAAGAUAACUUACGAAAAAUAAAGUCAACUUUUGGCCUAUUAAAAGUCAAGGCAACUUUAAAUAAAAUCCCGAAACUUCAACUUCGCAUAAACCCAAGAAUUUUCAUGAAUAAUCCUUCAUUAAAUAAGAGAAUAAUACAAGGAAAAUGAUAUGAAAAUCUAGGGUAUUACACGGCACUGGUGGUGAAACGUAGGUGAUGGUGUAGUUGCUCUUUUGGGAUGAGUUGAGCAGGUUUGGGUUCUCCAAGUUGCUGGUUGGGCAGGCUUAGUCAUAGGUUGUCACUUUGGGCCAAUUUUUGCCUCCUUUUAAUUUCCUUGUAUUCUUUUUGGUUUCUUAAAGGUUUUGGUUAGGUUUAAUAAGUCACUCCUCCAUCGAGCGAGGUUUGAGUGUCUUGUUCUAGUUGGUGUGCUACUUUGGUGGCGUUAAUUUUUAGGAUUAUUGGCUUUAAUUUCAGUGUUGUCUGGUUGUCAACAUGAAGGUGGAUUGACUUUACACAUGAUUUGGUGGAAUUUAGACAUGGUGUUGAAGAAGGGGAAUUAGCUCGUUUUGGUGUUUGUAGAGAGGUUGUAUCGUUACUCGCAUGACUAGUAGCUCUUCUUGAGUAUGGAACUGAGUUAGGGAUUGAGUCGAUUUAGCUUAUGGAUGUUGUUAUGGCGACUGGCCCGUAACUGUGAAUCUUCAUGUGGAUGUGUCAUGGUGUAGUAACCACAACUACUCACUCUUAUGUUAUUUUUUUUUAACUAUUAAUAAUUUUAUGGAGUUGAAAUAAUAUCAUAUAGACGACAAUACUUUAUGGGUGAACGUACAGACUCGUCCAACCAAUCGAUGCAUAUAUACAUACAUUUUUGACAUCUUAUUUCCAUAUGUAAAAAUAUAAUAUUUUCUCUCUAGCAAUAUAGAGAGGGGUUACAAUGCGAACCAUUAAAUUGAGGAUUAGUUGAGGUUUUUUUUCAUUAAUAGUUUAUUACAUCCACCUUUGGAUCAUAUUUCGUCAUCUCACAUUUUCAAUUUGUAGGUCUAUAUAAAUAGAUCACUUUUACAAAUUUUCAGCUAAAUUGGUGAUCGUUGAGUAAUUGAACUAGAUAAAAUCAAUGGACGAUCCAAAUCUGUCAAACAUGAACUAUUCAAGUUUAUAAUUGGUUAAUCACAUUUAUGAAUGCUUUAACGAUUUUUAAUUUGAAUGACAAUUUAUAAAGAUGAUACACACACACACAUAAUUAUCUAAAUUUAGACGGUCGAGAUAUGAAUAUGCGAACGAAAAGAGGUUGAAACGAAGAAGUGCUCAACUAGUCCUCAACUUGAUGAUAUUAGUGUUGGGUUUGGUGUCUAUCCCUCCAUGGUAGAGAUAUUAUGCAUGACAUGAAUGCAUAGAGUUAUUGGUUUGUACAUUCAUGGUGAUAAGUUAUGCAUGGAAUUGAUGCAUAGUUAAGUAGAUACAUUAAGAACGGAGCGGAUUCAGUGCACCACGGUGCAUUUGAACCACGCACAAAUGUUAACAGAACUAAUGACGACGUUAGUUGGUUGUUGGUAUCGAGGUACAGUAAAAGCCAGGUUUACCAUGAGCUUGUGGGAGUCACUAUGAUCGAACCAAACUGUUGCUCUCUCGCCUCCUAUCCACUAUUCAGUAUCCACUGUCCAAUUCCUCCAUCGCCAACCCAGAAGCUUUUCGACCCGACGUCAGAAGUCCUACUGCUGCUAAUCGAAUAAACAAGUUCUGGGUUUAGUGUUUUCGGAUCUGGUAAUAAGCUCUACCCCAAAGAUCUGGUAUCAAUUCCCUCAUAAUCAAUGUUUGCUUAGUGGAAGCACAAGGAAAAAGCGAUGGAGCGGCUUUUUUUGCAGAAGGAAAGUUCAGAUGCGGCCUGAGAGCAAGGAAGAAGAUGAAGCUCUUAAUGACUUGGCGCGGUUUCCUUCAUCUCCCUCAUUGACUUUUCUUUCUUUUUGUUUAAGUCCUAUGUACAGUGGGCCCUGCCCUGUGUAAGUGCGUAUUGCACUAUUGCUGCAUUGCUAGAGCCUAGAACUCUAGAAGUACCAAUGAUAGUUGAAGAAAACAUCUUAAUUUUUUUUCUAGAAGAAGAAACCCCUUGAAUAAUUAGAAACAUAUUGUUUAUGUGGAUUUAUUUCAUUGUUUCAACUUAAAUAUUUGUCAUAUAUUAUUGUAAGCAUAAUGUAUUAUUAUUAUUAUUAUUAUUAUUAUUAUUAUUAUUAUUAUUUCAUAUUCACAUGAAAAAGGUAUCCUCAAGGUCUUUAUGCAUUUAUCUCUUAUAUGACAGUAAUAAGACGACUUCACUUUUAAUUUCGCUUUCACAUUUGAAAACUUAAUUAAAUCACUCAAAUAUCACGAAUACAAUUUGUACUAAUGUUAAAAUGUUAAAUGAUAUGACAUCGUCAUGUACGGACCAAAUGGAUGCAAAUAUUAAAUUUUACAACAUAAUAUAAAGUAAAUAUCAUUGUAAUAGGCAUGAUCAUAUAUAGAGUGAAAUUGGUUAAGUAUAUUGUUACUUUGUUCAAUGCGACCAUUGAUACAUGUUUAUUUGCAUAUUCUCCCUAUUUACUAGUCCCCUUCUAGAGCGAGACACCGCUUUCAAAUUAAAGUGCGGUGUUUCUCAUUUCGCUCAAUUUUAGGUCAUAUUUCCACAUCUCCACCGUUCAGUGUCUAAAACAUAGUGUGUAGAUCAUUCCUGCAAAGUUUUAUCCAAUUUAGAGAUCAUUUGAGCUUCUGUAAUUAUGAUUUACACGAACUAUUCCGUUUGGACAGAUUUUGUUCAAUUGAUUCAUUUAAUCUAAUUCAGUACCCAAAUGAUCUCCAAUUUAGAUGAAAUUUUGCAAGAAUGAUCUACACACUAUGUUCUAGACACUGAACAGUGAAGAUGUGAAAAUGUGAUAAAAAAGUGAGCGAAAUGAGGAGUGUACCACACUUUAAUUUCAAAGCGGUUUCCCGCUCUGGAAUUAGAUGAAAUUUUGCAUGAAUGAUCUACACACUAUGUUCUAGACACUGAACAGUGGAGAUGUGAAAAUGUGAUCUAAAAGUGAGCAAAAUGAGCUAUUUACUCAUAAUGAACUAUUUACUCAAAAUUAAUCUACUCAUAAUGAACUAUUUACUCAAAAUUAAUCUACUCAUAAUGAGCUAUUUACUAAAAAUUAAUCUACUCACUAUUUACUCAAAAUUAAUCUACUCCAAGGCAUGUCCGUGGAGAGUCGGCAUGACCAGGCAUGUCCGUGUUGUUGCAGAAUUAAUCUACUCAUAAUGAACUAUUUACUCAAAGGUGAAUAUGUCGAUAUGUGACCGAAAACUUGAAAUAAAAGACUGUUAGUUUCGUAUUAUGAAGCUAACCGGUUAGCUCUAAAGCGUUUCUCGUAACUAACAUAAGUUUUUAAAGAAAAAAGGCAAGGUUUAUGUUCAUUUUUUUAAAGAUCUUUUUUCUAUUUACGGCAGUUAUAUGUUUCAAUGUUUAGAUUUUUUUCAGAAUUAUAUUGAGGCUUGAACCCAUAAAGGAAAUUAUGUAUAAUAAGUUUCUAAAAUUAUAAAUGUCAAUAGAAAAUAAGAAACUUUAACUUCAACUUUUUGUAAUAUUGUAAUUAUUGUAGUUUGCAAUAAGAAGGUGUUAACGAAGUUCAUUAAGGAAAUAAAUUAAAUAUAAAUUAGAUCAUUGUUCCUAGUUUGAACCAGGCACCCAAUAAACAGUCUUUGCGCUUAUGGACUUUCCAUCGUUCGUCCGCAUAUCCAAGCAAGGUAAAUUUGAUCAAUUGAAUAUUAGUAUUUAUGAGUUUUACUGUGUUGACCAUUAUUCAUUUUCUUAAUACUCUUAACAGUGUUAAUAUCGGUGUUAGUGCCAUGUAAAAGUUAGAUUUAAUGAACGGCUGAGAUUAAAUUUUGACACUUGGUUCACUUGUAUCUUGGUGUAUACAAGAACUUUCGCAUUAAGAAUUAAUAUAUGAUUAAAUUCACGAGUUACCUCUUAGUCUUCCUAGGGAGUUACAUAGAGAUAAGGUUGGUUCAUGAAUGGACAUUGAUGGAGCAAGUCUAGAGACUUCUAUCAAUUGCUAUAAAAAGGUGAAGCUUGUGUUAAAGCAAGCAAGGAGAGUAAAAGAACAACUCUAAGGGUCUUCAUGUAUAGAAGAUAUGGAGAGUUGUGUUCAAGAGUGCGAAUAACUCUUGGAUAAAGUAAUCUUCUAGGUUGAGAAAGGGUGUACAAAGGGUAUCAUUCUGGAUACAAGGGCUUAAGUUGAGUAUAAACUUGAGUGGUGUAAGAGCAUCUCCAACAGCUUUCCCAAAAUUUCUCUAAAAUGGAGAAGCAAAAGCUAAAUUCUCCAAAAAAAUUAUGAUCAAAAUCCAGCAGCUUCUCCAUUUUGGAGAUUUCGGCAUUUAAUACAACAAUAAAAUAUAAUAUAUCAUCAUGAGUUAUAACAAAAAAAACAUUAUAUAUUUCAUUGUAACAAUAAACUACCCAAUCAAAUAUUUUAUUGUUGUUUUAAAUUUGUUGGAGUACGUGAAGAAUUUAAUUUUGGGGGAAGGAAGGCUUUGCUGCAAAUUUGGGGAAUGAAGACUUCUUUUUCUUCUUCAUCCCCAUUUUGGGGAAUGAGAUGGGGAAGCUGUUGGACCUAAAAAGAGCUCUAUAUUCCCCAAAAUUGAGAAGUUUAAGAAAAUGGGGAAGCUGUUGAAGAUGCUCUAAUCUUGUACUUGUGUAAUUCUCUCAUUAGUGAAUGUGAUACUCUCCGAGGACGUAAGCAAAGAUAUUGACUGAACCUCGUUAAAUCUUGGAUUCUUCUUGGUUUGUUUAUUUCUUUUUUCCAUCUAAUUUCUAGCACUUGUGCGGCGGUGAUCAAUUUCCUAACAUCUGUACAAACUUGUCGAUCAAACGAUUUGACUAAAGUCGUCCAAGUGAGUGAACUCGGAUAUUUGUAUCAGGGUCCCAAAAGGAAAAAAAUUCACCUCAUAUUAGUUCUCGUGGGGUUUGGACUUCCACCAUUUCUCGCCUACCGAUUCCCAACAACUCAACCCACCCACAUUAAACGUCCUAUAAAUCUAGAAUCGACAUAAAGCACAGAGAGAACGAUUCAUUAAUGAGAUGUAUGAUUGAAAAUUUUUAUUUACAUCGAUUAGGAAACGCGUGACUGCCUGUGGCUGAUCACUGCAGCAGAACUUACCCCAAAUAGCAAUCACCUUUCUGAUAAUUGGUCUGUUUCAGAAGCGUCACCAACCUUCCAUGUGAUUCUAUCGAAACCUCCAUUACUAGUAGCAUAUCUGCCUCUUCAAGUUGCCGCCCACCUUGUUUACCUCAUUCCAAGUCCAAUUCUUCCCGUCACGAAAAGGAUAUCUCAUAGAAUACACAUACCCCACUCCUCACCUCACUCUACCCCCAAUUACGUGUCCUAGUUUCAUUGGUCAUACCCCAAAAAAUUAAGCAAAAUCCAACCUUGCCCUUGCUGAUGUUAUCUCCAUUCUAGUCCUCAUCCUUUAGAUGCUCAACACUGGCCUCUGCAGCAGCAGCAGCAGCAGAAGAAGAAGAGGAGAGUUAAUUCAUUUCAUCAAAUAGUACACAAAAUCCAGUGGGUUUUGUUUUUGUUUUUGUUUUUUGGAAGAAGAAUAAGAUAGUAGAUAGUCCAGAGUGGGUUUUCCUUUCUUUAGAGCAAGCAACUACCUCUCUCUGUUUUUGUGGCUCACCUAUAAAAACGGUCUCUUUCUCUCUCUCUUUAAAUUUGGGUCUUUUUUUUUCGGCCACACAUACAAAACAGAGGAGAAAGGAAAGCUCAUUUCUUUGGGUCUCUUUAAGGUAGGGUUAGGGUUAGGGAUUUAGGGUUUUCUGAUUUGGUACUUUUUAAAAUGGAAGGAGGAGAAAUUGGGGAGUUGCAGGACUGGGAGGUCCUCCACAGCGCCGGGGAGGACGUGGUGGAAAGCCAUGGAAGCUUCUCGGCGAUUGAGGCUGACGCCGAGGGGAUGAUCAGGUCUGAUUAUUUCUCGUUGGAGAAUCAGGGGAGGUAUGGCUAUGCUAAGAGUGAAGCGGGUUCUGUUGAGUCGGAUAAUCCGAGCUGGAUUGACCCGGUUUCGGUGACUACUUACAAGGAAUCGGGUGGGUUCUGGUCCGAUUCGGCUAGUGAUCGGUCCGAUGACCGAAAAAGUCAUGAUUUUGAGGCGAGGAGCGAGUUGGGUUCCGCCGGAAAUGAGCAAAGCCCUGUGCUUUCGGAGCCUGUGGAUGAGAAUUUGGGGAAAGGCAAAGUGGGUGUCCAAGGAAUUGGGGAAGUUGGGAGCUUUGAUAAGGAUUUGGAUAAGUUCUGGUCUGAUUCCGGCGGUGAAAGCUCGGUUUCUGUGAAAUUUGACAAGGAGGGUGGUUCAAGUGAGUCCAACAAGGAAUCAGGGGAGGAAGAAUCAGCUGAGACUCAAAGUGGUGCAGUGGAAGAAGUGAAAACGGUGGCGAAACCGGGUGGUGAGGGUGAGAAGAGGAUGGUCUUGUGGUGGAAGGUUCCAUUGGAGGUGUUGAAGUAUUGUGUUUUCAAGGUGAGUCCUGUUUGGUCUUUCUCUGUGGCCGCAGCGGUAAUGGGUUUAGUUAUCUUGGGAAGGAGAUUGUAUAGGAUGAAGCGAAGGAGCCAGAGCUUCCAGCUCAAAGUUGCUCUGGAUGACAAGGUCAGUUAUUGCAAUUUAUUAUUAGCUAAUGUGUCUAUAGUUGUUCUACCUAAAUGUUAUUGGAUGGAUGGAUGGAUGGCUACAAUAUCUCUGCACAAUAUGUAGCAUAUACUUAUGUUUUGCAUUUGUUCAUUUUGUGGUGUUUUUUACUUGGAUGAAAAUGUCUCAAGUUGCCGUAUGCCAGUUUCUUUGCAACAUGUGUAAAUAGUUCAAUCACAAUCCUGAGUUUGUACAGUCAAUUGUUUUCAUCUCUGUUUUCUUAAGUUUUUGAAGUUUUUUUAAAUCAACUUGUAUCAAGUUCUUGUCAUUCCUAGCUCAUUAUUCGGCACUCGGCAGGGUAUGUUUCUUUAUGUUCCUAGUAAUUUUGGUAGGAUGUUUUGGUAUUUGGUAAAUAUUCACUUAAAGGAACGUUGCCAAUUUGUUGCAACUCAGGUGGUUUUGUUAGUUUAGGCUUCUCUUUGUCGAUUGUAAAUGGCACUACUCUUAUUCCCAUGGCUAGUAUAAUCUAUUUUUCAUCUUCAAGUAAAAUGAUAAAGUGCACAUUGAUUCAUUUAUAAAAUCCAAUAUUUUCAUGGCUUCUUUUCGAUAUUUGUGUUGUUUUUACAUAUCCUAGUGCAAAGAAAUGCUUCAUUCCGUCUUAUUCAGCUUCUUCCAUUGAUUUGUGGUUUGUUUGUUGUAUUCUAGCACUACUACGAUAUUUUGGUCUUGCAUUCUAUUUAGUUUCUAGUAUUUGCUUGUCUAUGCUAUUUUAUUUUACAAUAGAAAUAGAAUAGUUAAACCUUACGAUAGAGGUGAAAGGUGAACAAGUACAAAGUUACCCAAGCUUUAACAUUUACAAACAAUUGAAGGAACACAAAUAUCAAGAAAUGGCAGCCACCCACUUUAUUGACCGAAACAACUACGGAUUAUCUUUAUGUUCAAAUGACUGAAUCCCACAAAGAGUCGAAUUCUUUUCCACAAGGGCUCCAGACUAUUUUCCAAACCAUCCAAAUAUUGCCAUCACAGUGCAAAUCCCCGUGACUUCUAUUCUCUUACUUCAUAUUCUCUACGAAUGCACAUUGAUUGGCCAAUGAACAAAGACAGAGCGAACCAGUUCAGCAUGAUAGAAAUUUAGGUUUAUUUUACAUAGCACAAAAAAGAAGGAAAUACUGUUGUUUUGCAACAGAAUACACCAAUGUGGUUAUUUUUCUACUUGUUCACAAACUUUUCAGUAUGUUGGAUCCAAGAGAUGUUUGUCAUAUCUUGUAUAGUCUAUACCUUUAGCAGAAAGUGCAUACUCAGUUUCUGCAUAGCUUUUUCCCAGAGUUCCUUUGUUAAAUCCAUGUUGUUUUUUCAGCAAUAUUCACAAGUUCUCUAAUUAUAUUUGUCAAUCUUAAAGAUCAAAUAAACUCCUUUUGGGUGAUUAAAAGCAGGCCAUCUUAUUUAGUAAAGUCUCUACUGGAGUUUUUCCUCUUUUUGGCCUUGAAAUGGUAGAUUUGAGUUGUUGAAUUUGUAGUUUCUUACUGAUAUUGUUUUGCAGAAGGUAUCUCAAUUCAUGAGUCGCGCUGUGCGUCUCAAUGAAGCAUUUUCAGUUGUGAGGCGGGUUCCCAUUUUACGACCUUCACUGCCGGCUGCUGGGGUCAAUCCAUGGCCAGUGAUGAGUUUGAGAUAGAAAAUUCUUCUUGUGAAAUAUAUAGAAAAAGAAAGGAUUAUGUCCAUGACAUGUGCUAAAAGACUAAGUUCUUAUGCUUCGCUUUGUAUUAAACCAAACGUGGCUGCUUUGUGUUUGAACUUUAAGUUAAGAACCUGCAUCAGUUUGUGUAAAAUACAGACAAGUUUCAACUAGGUACAAAUUUUCAAUUUCUUGUUUAUCCUGUUGCCUUGUAUCUAUGCUCUCUAUCUUAAUCUGAAUGGGUGAUGUACUUCUCAUACUUGCACCUUUCACAUGCCAAAUUGCAAUGGAAGAGUUUGAUAUGAUUCUAUCUUAGAAUGAAUGAUAUGUUUUGAACUUGCAGUUUUUCUUAGAAGCUAUUGAGGUACUGUAUCAUUUCUGCUUGCUAAUAUCAAAAUGUAGUUUCGUUUAAACAAAGUAUGUACCAAAUUUGGAGGUGGAGACAGAAUCUCCCCUUUUAAUGUUAAGCAGUGGUAGUGCAAGAGUUCUGCACUCGUCGAAAGUACAAGCUUGAAAAUAGUUACAUCAUAGAACAUGCCAAAGGAUUUUCGUCACUAAACAUUUGGCAGGGGUAAAUAUGAUCUACUGAAUAUUGAGGAGGAUACUGGAAUCUAAUUUCCACUUCUGGGCAGAUCUUGUUUGUGAUAUUACAUGUACUGUUAUCCUCGCUCUUUUCUUUGUCUUUGUCCUUGUCCUUGUCCUUGCCCUUGCCUCGUCCUAUCUCCUCUUCUUGCCUGACAAAUUCAGCAUGUUUUCCUAAUUGUUUCUUGAUGUGUUCUAUGAGCUUUGGUGGAUCAACUAUUCCCCUCACAGUCACCAUUGAAGUCCCCAUGUUUGCUUCCGCAUUUAGAACACCUUACAAUGUCCCAACACUUUCAGUUAACUGAAGAGGUCAGAAAUUACAGUUCGGAUUGUGAAACUACAUCAAUCAAUCACGUAGUCCUGAGGUAUGUCCUAUCGCACUACAGAUCUAAGUGAAUUGUAGAGAGAGAGAACAAAGAUAGGUUAAACCUUUCAAUCCUUCCAAGCAGUUCUUAAUAUCAGUUUCACAACCUUGACAAUGCAUCAACAUUUUGAGCACGACAACUUUCACCUGAGGCAGAGCCUAAAAUUCACAGUAGCAAGAUGAAGACAACACAUGACAUGAGAGAAAGGGAUACAAUACAGAACUAGGAGGUAAAGUAGUCAAUGUUUAGUUGUUAUCACAUACCACUUGUUUCUUUUCUGGCUCCUUUCUCUCUUUGUUUUCUGGUUUUAGUUUGGGAGAUAUAAGUUCGGCAUUUCUGCUAUACUUCUUUUGAACUCUCUCCAGAACCUUCAAUGGAUCAGCCCUUUUCCCUUUUACUACCACUCUAUUGUUUGGAUAAUCAACCUCAACCUCCUCAAUGCCUGAUAAAUCAGUUAAAUGAAAAGAACUAGAGUUAUAUAUGCAUGGUUCACAUAAUCACAUUACAGAGUUGGUCGUGUGUAAGAAUUCUUAUUCUUACCUUCAAAAUAUCUCAAGCAACUGGAAACUUUACUUUUGCAUCCUUCACAAUGCAUCAAAACUUUCAACACAAUUUCUUGAUUCUUCUCUGCCAUGUUUUGGGGGGUAGAUAUGAAUAUAGGGCAUAUAUAUGCGUGUAAAGCUGUAUAUGUAUGUUGUAAACAGUUUCCAAGCAAAUGACUUUUGUGGUUACAAUCUUGCAAAUAAAUAUAUUGAUUACAUGACUACUGGCUUACCCAUUUCACCCAAAUAGAGAGAAUCAAAUUAGGCAUAUAAAUGAAUUGGAGUAAAGGCUAUAAUCUAAUUCAGAGACCACAUUAAAAUAUCAUAAUGGUGGUGCUCUUAAUCUUGUACAGAAAUAGGCUUUAUGAAAGGUCUAGAAAACAUUAGUGCUAGAACAUGAAAGGAUUGUUAACUGCAUUCCUUUUAAAGAGUCAACAAACAGGUUAAUAUCAUCUCACUAAUUGAUGGACAUUUAGCAAGUCCACGAUCAUAUAAAGUCGUGUUAAAUGUGUGUAUACUGGCCACAUAUGAAGAAAAAUGUAUUUAGCAAUAUCCUGCAAAUUAAGUUUUCUGCCUUCUCUUUAAAAGCUGAAUUAAUUUCAGUAAGAGCAAUACUAUCAUCUAAUCUGGAUUAGCUUAUAUAGAUGGAGCUGAAAAUGUAGCUACAAACGGCAGCUUUGAAAUACAAAAAAGAUAGUGAACAGAUGAUAACAUCUUCGUGAUAACUAUUAUAAGAUGUGGAAAAACCUGGCCUCCCCAGAAAAAUAAUAUAGCAAGGCAAAGAAAAUCACAACUUGUUUCAUAAGUGGCAAGUGCUUAUUACUUGCUUCAAUUGUAUAGUAAAACCGUAAGCCAAUGCCAAUAACAGUUAAAAAUAUUGAAAGUUGAAACUGACAUGGUGUUAUAGCUUUAGUUCACUAAUUAAUCCGACCAAACCUAAUAGUAUCAUCACUAUUCUAUAGAGUUGAGAGACGUGGCAAUGAACAUAUGUCUUUGAUUCGUUUGUAGUGAUUUCAUAUUGUUCAUUAUGUCUUUGAUAAUUGUUAAAUCUAAUUACGUAUGUGUGAGAGUAUUGGAUUUGUACCAGGGGUGGAGGGUACACUAGAGCCUGAAGGUGUCCUCGCACCCCCACAAUUUUGUCUUAUACAACUAGUGACAUGUAAUCUCUUUGAUUAAGGGGAUAGGAAGAGAAGUCUCUGUAUAUGUUGGCACCCCUUCGCCUUCAUUUUCUCUGCUCCAAAUUCCUAUAUUCAAGUACAAGAAAUAACGAAUUUGAUGGAAACUUCAACCUUAUUACCAUGCACUUUUCCGUUUUUUGAGGCUUUAUGGCUUGCUGGCCAAUAUCAAUAUUAGAUUUUAUAAUAAAAUUAAGUUUGAUUUUUCACACUGAUACUAUAAUUAUGUAUAUAAAUUAUACACAAAUAAAUGUGAAAUGAUGCCUUUUGAUUUUUGGGUAUUGUCUUGUUAACGUUAAGUUUCAAAGGUUAAUUUUGGUUUCAUCUUUUGCUCCUAUAUAUCGUCUUGGUCAUCGUUGCUAUAAGUUUCUAGCUUCUCCCAUGAUUUGUACAUCCACGUUUUUUUAGUCUUUUGCAACUUAGGAUUGCUAAUUAAUUUUGUGGUAUUUUCUUUUACAUGAGGUGUUUUUAUAAAAAAGGUUAUCAUUUUCGGAGUAGUUGUCAGAGUUGUUUGUAAGAUUUUUCUCAUCAAUGAAGAGAUUUUUUAAAAGUCCUUUGUUGUUUUCUGAUGUUUGUUGCCGCUUAUCUUACUGAUUUUGCAUGCAAGUAUAAUGACUUUUUAUAAUUAUUAUUGUGAGGGGUAAUAGAGAUGUUAAAUAUGAACUUAUAGCAUAAGGAUUGUAGUUUCGGUUGUGUUUAUCGAAAGCUUUUUGUUUUGUUUUUUUGGGGAUGUAUGAGUGAUUUGGAUUUUAAUUUUUUUUUUUUUUUUUUGUGAAAAAAGUUGACAAUUUUGUUUAUCUAAUAUCCAUUAUGGGAAGAUGAAAAGAUGUUGCCCUCCCACAUCGCGUAUACAAAGACAUUGCAAAAGACAUCUUACACAAUGCAACAUUUUGCUUGAAGAACAACAUGAUCAAUAUAUGCAUGUGCGAUAUCUCUUAUUUGCUGAUUUUACUACGGAUUUGAUAACGUGUGUUACUUAACAAGAGUUGAUUGACACAAUUGUGCGACUACCUUAGGGUUUUCUUUUAUGUAAUAGUCAAGAAAGAUCAGAGACCACAUCAUAUCAAAAGCGAUGUGUAUUCAAGGCUGGUAAGUUUUCCUAUUGUAAGACGUGUGUUCAAAAUAUUUAUACAAGUUUUUUCUUUACACCUUUUUAAUUAAUUAUGUUUAUAAUUGUAAGAUGUGUAAGAAGGACAUCACCCUGCAUCACUUCUUGUGUUCCUUAUGCAUUAUGCAAAGACAUCUGUGAUUUGUGGUAGUGCAUAAAUCUUACCUUAAUGAACUAUGUCUUGAAUUAUACCCCUUUUAAUCAGAUUACACAUUAUCACACACAUGAUAUCGAUACAUAAACUAGGCGCGGGGUAGCACUAUUUAUGGCCUCACAACUACUCUCAAUUAGUUGAAUUUAUCCAAGAGUACAUGUGACAAUACCCUACAGGAGAUUGCCAGCCUCAAAAAUCAUUCAAGGUAAACACUUUUCUUUAAUCUCACAUUAAUAUAACACUAUAAUCUUAGGAAUGUGCGGGAGGAUCUAUAUUGGAUAUCUCCCUAAAAUGUUCUAUGUAAAUGAGUCCCGCAAUAUGGACUUUUUCUACAACAUUGAACUUUCUUCAUAAGAUCUUCAAUCAUAGAAGUUGGGUUUCUUCCCUAAGUGACUCCGGGUUUAAAACAUUCUCCUCGACAAUUAGAAUAUAAUAUAGUCUUCUCUUUAAAACUAUAGGAAUGAAUUACUUUAGUUAUUAUUUGUGCCAUGUCACUUUGAUGCUCACGAUCUACACUUUGAUAAUUAAUUUCUCAUAGGAGCAUAUGUUACUCCAAAUGAGAGUAAAAGUACACAAUCUCUCAUAGGAGCAUUAUAGUAAUGAAGAUAGAUAAAAAUGUUCAACCCCCACAUAACCAAGAUAUAUAAUGAUUUUUUUUUUUUUUUCAUACAAUAGUAGUAAGGGAUAUUUACCCCCACAUUACUAUGAUAUUGAAUGCUCUCCUCUUCACAGAUGCUCAAAAACUCAUUAUAAAUAAAAUAUGAGUGUACUUGUGCUCUCAUAACCAUUGUUUGGAAUUAAACAGUGUAUUUUUGUACCUCUUUUGCAUGUAAAAUGUCAUUGUUGGGGGCGAAAACAAACCGCUAUAAAGGAGUCUCUUUUGCACCAUUUGUUGUCGAGAUUGAAAAGGUUGAACUCCUUCUCGAAUGCAAGGCUAUAAGGGCUUUCUCUAUGUGCUACAUUUACUAUGAAAUUGUAUUAUCAUCAUCACCUGCAGGUUUCAUAUGGGGAACAAUAGCACGGCUACUUCUAUUAGUUCUAUAUCAUGCUAGUCUCAUGCAUAUCAAAUGUGUACGAGGCUCACCAACUGGAAAUACUAAAGGCAUUCAAAUAUAUAUUAAUGGCAAAGUCGGUCAGAUCACUUAAGAAAAUACUUAAGAUUAUUAUGCCAUUUCACUUUUCUCACAUACAUAAAAAGGCACAAUACUCAACAAUAUUUCAAUCUAAAACAGAAUUCAGGAAAGAUCAUGAUCUUUCCAACGUCACCAUGCAAACCAAACAAAUUCAUGCGAUGAGUAAAUAAGGUCUGAUCGAUUAACAGCCAAACACUUGAUGCACCAAGAUUAUAUAGUGGCUGUUUACAACAGGAUGUACCAGGGUAACUUUCCCUAGACUAUAUAGUGGCUGUCGUAAGAUGUAUGCCAAGUCAAAUGAUUUGAAGAUAGCACAAUGAUUCUGCACAACUACUGCAGCAAGUGCAUUUUAUUCUCCGUGUUGCUAAACUUAAAGAAACAACAGUCGAUUAUCUAUUUGGUAUUCCUUUUUAUUCAUUGUUUUGUACAAACAAGUACAAGAUCAUACAAUGUCCUAAUAACCUUAAAUUGUGUGCCUCGUUACAUCAGAUGCAUUUAGCCACCACUGAUUGGAGGUAUGAUGGCCAACUCAUCUUUGUCUUGCACAACUGCCGACUCAGUUGUGUACUCUUCAUUAAGAGCAAGCACCAUGCACCCCCUGAUCUCUUCCAAGCUAGGGAAAAUGGAAAUGAGCUUAUUUAAACAAUCAUUGGCUGUACUACCAGAUGAUACCUCCAGUGGCAUCUCAGUGAAGCCAGUAAGGUCCCGAGCCCUGGCAAAAAACAACACCUUCAUCUUAACAGACGAAUCCUGAAUCCUCUUAGUUUUAGGGUCCAUAGUUACGGAAUUAAUUUCUUCUUGCUUGAAAUCCAUUGCAGAACACCCUGCCUCAUGAAUUAAUUGUUUUGAAACAUGUACCCUGCAUAACAACAUCUUCAGUUAUAAUUUAUAAGAUAUGGAAAAACCUCCCUAAAAAGAUAAGUAAAGAAAAUCACAACUUUUUUUCCUAAGUGGCAAGUGCUUAUUACUUGCUUCAAUAUAAAUUAAACCAUGAGCCGAUGCCAAUAACAUUUUUGACACUUUUUAGAUUUGACCCAACAAAGUUCAGCAUUUGGAGGUUAAAUCCAAUAAAAAGGGUAAGCCUCUGGAACUCAAUUCAUCGACAAGAUAACAAUUUUCUUAAGUCUGGACCAAGCAAAUCAUUCUUGGCAUUUGAAAGCCUAUAUCUUCCAGUGAAUGGAGCUUGUUAAUCCAGAAUGCAUAGUUAAAAAUGCAUUCAAAACCAUGAUGAACUAAUUAUAUGCGAUUGAACCCAUAUUCAAAAAAAUUAUCAUAUGCAAUUACAACUGAUAAUGGUUGACAAGGCUUAAUACAUCAAAACACAUGUUUCAUGCAUAUGUAUUAAACAUCAAUAGAAACAAAUCUGGAAUUUUCCUACAACUGAAAACUCAAUAGCAAGUUACCAACCUAGUUGAAUAACCUCAGGGUUUUCUAUUAGAUAAUAUUCCAAACUAAUCCACAAAGCUAUGCAAGAAUUUCCAACAAGCAUCUACAAUUCCUACAUCACAAAGUUCAUCUUUCACUUCCAGUUUCAACAGAAAGGAGGUGCUAUCCCUUUGCCUUUUUGAGAGUCUUAUUCUAGCAAUUUUCAAGCAUUAUACAGACCCCAACUCAGAUCAUGAUCUUGAGGGAACUAAUGUCCAACUUGUCUAACCUCCCUAUUCUUAUUCUUCACUGAGGCUGGUAUAUAUAUUACAAAAUGCAGGCCUCUAUCUCGGCUUAAGUGGGUAAAGAACCAGCCUUUGUCCUUGUCAUUUUCAUUUGAUCAAACCCAAAGAGAAAACAACCAAUUAAUUACAACGGAAAGCAAAGCAAAAGAAACAAGCUUUCACUCGGUUGAUCUAUUAUCCUAAUACUCUUAACACAUUAUUACACACAAUUCUAGACUUCAACUCAUACUCUAAACUGUACUCUCACACCAAGUAGCAACAUAAACCGAAACUCAUCUAAAAACAUUACCAUAACAGAGUUUGGAAAUCCAAAAACUAAAGCAAGACUUCAAAUUUUCUUUAUCAACCUCAUAAAUUUGCUACUGACAAAUUCCCAUGAAUCAAUAAGUCCUUGAAUAUGAUUAAGUAUUCCAAAAUAGUCAACUACCCUACAAGUCAAAUGUAACCAACAACUCCUUUGAACUAUGAAAAUCAACAAACCCCAGAGAGAAAGAAUCACAGCAGCAUCCAAGAAAACUUAGAGGACUUAUCCGUAAUUAAGACAAUACACGUAACAUUUUUAGGAAAAGAUAGAAGCUUUACCGUCGCCAAUCCUUGAGAAGCUUCAGAGAUUUCGGAAGAGAGUCUCCGGAGCUGAGCGCUUGGUAGAUUGGAUUCUCUAUUUAAGAAAGAGCAGAAAAAUUCUCAAGUGCACCGUUGUUCCCGUGUGCGUUACUGCACCGGAUUUUUGCACUGGUGUAUCAAUCCUUUACGUCGUCAAAAUAACGCCGUUGGAUUAUAGCAACGGUUAGGAUCGGAGGAGCACUAUAUAUUUCGGCACGCUUGAGUCUACUGAAAUUCCAAAACACAGAGAAGCUCUGUCCCAGUCUUUCAUGGAGAUCGAGCUCGCUACUCGUUGAUAGAGAGACAGUUGGAUUUUCCUCAUUGGGCGUUUAGGCGGUUAUGUAAGCACCACUGAUCGGUGAGUCUCCAUUUCCAUUGAUAGGUACUGAGAUUUGGGGGUUUAGGGUUCUACAUUGAUUUGGGUAGAAAUUUGAUAAGAUUAUAAUUUCCAAUCACCAUGUUGUAGAAAGUGAUGAGCUUUGGGUCUUGACUAUGCUUUGAAUUUAUAAUUUCGUUGUUGAUGUUUGGUAUAUAUUUGGGAUCUAGACAUAAGCUGUGAACCUCUUGCAGUUACAAUUCUCAAGUAUAUAGUCUGAUUAUGAUGAACAGUGUUGUUAUUGUAGAGUGGUUUGUGAUAACUUUAUUUAUUUAUCUUUGAUUAUGUUGAUAUUGUCAGGAUGUUAUAGGUUGUUGUAGGCAUGAGUAACAAUGAGAGUUUCGUUGAUGUUGAGUCGGGUGAAGAAGACUAUUGCAACAUGGAGGAGACAGAAGACUUUGAAACCACCAGAGAAACGUAUGGAGCAGAUGGCCCUUUUGAGUACAAUGGGAAAAGUUUUCGUGAGCUGACACUCAAGGACUUUGAUGGGACUUAUUUCGAUACUGUUGAGGAUGCUGAAAAGUUCUAUGAAAUUUAUUCUGCUGCACUUGGGUUCCGGAUAAGGAGAUUUAGGUGUGAGAAGGACCUGUCUGGCACUAUCCGAAGAAGAGGGUGGGUGUGUUCCAAAGAAGGUGAAAAGAGACCAGCUAGAAAGAAAGAAGUACGGGCGGCUUCGUGCAAAACUCGUCCACCCAGGUCCAGCAUGAGAGAGAAAUGUAUGGCUGCAUUUGGUGUCAAGUAUUCCGAGGAACUUGCUGCUUAUUACGUGAAAUAUUUUACUACUCAGCACAGCCACGAGUUAUUACCAGAGUCUAACAAGGCGAAAUCGCUAAUUUCUCAUUGUGUUGGCAAGAAAUUGGAUUUGGCACAGGCAAUUGCAAUGCCCAAAGCCAAUGACACAAUCCAAACCUCUGCUGCAAAUGAUAAUCACCCAUCAGGUGGAAAUGACUGUGGGGGUUCAACUACAGAAUUGGAUUUGGCGCACGCAGUUGGAUUACGCAAAGACAGAGAGUCGAUCCAAACAUCUGAUGCAUAUGCAUAUCACCCAUCAGGUGGAAAUGAGUUUGUGGAUUUAACUACAGUAUCGGAUUUGGAGCAGGGAGUUGCAAGGCGCAAAGGUUCCGUUAACUCUGCUGCUGCAUCUCAGCAUAUGGUUGAACCAGCAGGUGGACUUGCUUUUGGGAGUACUAAUAGAUCGGAUCUGGGGCAGACAGUGCCAAUGCACCAAGACUCAAUCACAAACUCUUCUGCAUAUGAGUAUAUAGUUCAUCCAGCAGGUGGAUAUGAGUUUGUCGAUUUAAUGAGGAGGGAGUUGUAUAAUAAGGUGGACGUAGAACACCGAGAAGCUUUGUUGAAUGGUGACGCACAAGCGGCAAUUGCCUUUAUGAAUGCAAGGGCUGCAGAAGAUCCCGAUUUCUUUUGUAAAUUCUGCGUGGAUGAACGAGGCAGGCUUGGAAAUUUGUUUUGGAGAGACUCAUGUUCAUCGCUGGACUACGCUAGGUUUGGGGAUGUAUUGAUCUUCGAUUGCACAUUCAAGACAAACAUUUACCAGAGGCCGCUUGCUGUGUUUGUUGGUGUAAAUAACCAUCGGGGUACUGUAUUAUUUGGAUCUGCAAUACUGGUUGAUGAUACCAUUGAUACCUACAAGUGGGUUUUGCGAACAUUUUUGGGUGCGAUGAAGGACAAAAAACCAAGAUCGGUUUUGACUGACGGGGAUGACAAAAUUCAAAACGCCGUUGCUGAACUUUUUCCUAAGGCCCGACAACGUCUAUGUUCAUGGAACAUUGAGAAGAACUUGGCUACUAUCAUUAAGGAUCCGGACGUGGAGAAAGCUUUCAGUCAAUUUUUAUACAAUGCUAUACCACCAGAUGAGUGGGAACUGGGCUGGAAGUCUAUGGUAGAGACCUAUGGGCUUCAAGACAAUUCAUGGAUUAAUAUGAUGUACCACAGGCGCAAGAGAUGGGCAGAAGCAUUUUUUAAGGGUCAUUUUUUUGGUGGAAUGAGUAGCAUGCAACGUUGCCAGGGGAUCCAUAGGAAUCUGGAGAAUGCAGUCGGUAAGUAUGACAGGUUUUGUGAAUAUAUUCCCCGAAUGGACAAGACCCUGAGGAAAAUGAGAAAUAUUGUUUGUGUUGAUGACUUUAAAUGCGAGAACUCAAAGCCAGACAUUAUUACUCACAUGCGAUCUUUGGAGCAGCAGAUAGCUGACAUCUUCACUCAUGACAUCUACCUGCUGAUAAUGCACCAGAUAGAUUGGGAGAGAAAGUACAUAAUCACCAAGUCUGAGCCAUAUGCAGGACGGGACGGUAAAGUGUUUCACCUGACCCAAUAUGACUUGCCGCACAGGCAUUGGACUGUUAACUACCACCAUAAUAUAAGCAAAGUGUGGUUCUUGUGUUCAUGCAAACUAUUUCAGUCGGACGGAAUCCCUUGUGCUCAUAUAUUUUCUGUAAUGAAAGCUGAGCUGAUAUUGAAGUUACCUGAGUCCUUGGUUCUGAAGCGAUGGACAUUGGAUGUGGGGAAGCCAGUGAACUUUCAUAAUUUGUCUGACAGGAAUUCGCAAAUGGUAAGGUAUGCAUCGUUGGUUUCCGAAAUCAAAAGUGUAUGUUUCCCAGCAUCUAUAACUGAGGAAGGAACCAAGAAGAUGAAAGGUGAAAUUGCCAAGCUGGCCCGAGAUGGCACAGAGAGCCAAACCCACAGUGGAUUGCAGAAUUUGAUACAUCGUCACCAACUUCAUGUUGGAUCAGAUGCCCACAGCUUUACCGGUAUUUCAGUUGGCAUCAAUGCCGGACAUUACACUCGCAGUCUUCCUCCGGGUGAAUUCAGAACCUACUUCUUUUGAACUAGACUGCAAUAUAUGCUGCCUUUGUUUUGUGUAACUACACCCGUCCAUGCCCUCCUCCAUUUUCUAAGGCUUUGCAGCUUUUGUAUUCUGACCUAUGCCACAGAGGCACAGACCCUGACAGAUUAUGUAACAUUAUUCAGUGGCAUGUUUAAUCCAAGUGCUGAAGGGUUUCAAGCGAUCACUUGUUGAAUUUAUGAUCCAACUUGUAUACAACUAUAUUUAGACGUAAUAAAGUAAUAAACGACACCGUUUGGGGCAGUAUAACUUGAGCAGAGUAGUUGGGCGCUCAAAACUUAAAGCAUCUUAGAAAAGAGCGAGUAAUGGGAGAUGAUAAGACUACGUUCUUGUUCAUCGUCUCUGCUUAACUUUCCCUUCCAUUUCAGAACUCAUCAAAUCCAAAGCCCACAAUGUAUCUACAAGCUCUUCACCCAGAAAGCAUUCCAUAAUGCACAUUCAAACCCACAGACUCCUCUUUCUGCUCUCAUUUCUGCUAUAAGCUCCUGCCCUUCUGUCUCCUACUGCCGUGCCAUUCACGCAUGUGUGAUCAAGUCUUACAGUUACAGUGAUGGGUUCAUUGGCGAUCAGCUGGUUUCGUGUUAUGCUAAGAUGGGUUCUGCUGAAGAUGCACUCAACCUGUUUGAUGAAAUGCCCAAGAGGGACUUGGUCUCCUGGAAUUCUUUGAUUUCCGGGUUUUCGCCAAGAGGGUAUGUUGAGAAAUGCUUGAAUGCUUUAUUUAGGAUGAGGUUUGAAGUGGGAAUAGAACCCAAUGAGGUUACGCUUAUAUCUGUUGUCUCAGCUUGUGCUAGCAGAGGAGCUGUUGAUGAAGGUAUGCACAUUCAUGGACUUGCACUGAAAUUGGGUUUGUUGUGGGAACCAAAGCUUGUGAAUUCUCUGAUCAAUCUGUAUGGAAAGUCGGGGUAUUUGGAUGCAGUUUGUCGAUUGAUUGAAACUAUGCCGAUGCAGAAUGUAGUGUCAUGGAAUCUAAUGAUUGCAAUUCACGCUCAAAAUGGAUCUGCGGCAGAGGGAUUGAAUUGCUUUAAUCUCAUGAGAAGGGCCGGUGUUUAUCCUGCUGAUGGUACUGUGGUGUCCUUGCUUCAGGUUUGCGAGAAUUUAGAAUUAGGGAAACUAGCAGAGGGUGUCCAUGGUGUAAUCAUCAAAUGUGGUCUUAGUGCAAAUGUCAGAGUUGCAACCGGAGUUCUAGAUUUGUAUGCGAAGUUGGGGAGGUUAGAUUAUUCACUUGAGGUUUUCAAGGAGUUAAUCAAUCCGGACAAAGUAGCUUGGACUGCAAUGCUUGCAGGUUAUGCUACACAUGGAUAUGGACAAGAAGCUGUGGAGAUCUUUGAAAACAUGGUUAGGAAAGGUGUACAGCCUGAUCAUGUCACCUUCACUCAUUUGUUAAGUGCUUGUAGCCAUUCAGGACUUGUCAAGGAAGGGAGAAAUUACUUCAACAUUAUGUCAGAAGUCUAUGGAGUCGAGCCUAGGUUGGAUCACUAUUCAUGCAUGGUUGAUCUUCUGGGUCGCUCUGGGCUUCUGAAUGAUGCUUACGAGCUGAUUAAACAAAUGCCAAUGGAGCCAAACUCUGGCGUAUGGGGGGCUAUUUUUGGUGCUUGUAGAAUGUAUGGUAACAUUGAGCUUGGGAAGGAAGUUGCAGAGAGGUUAUUUGCUUUAGAGCCAUCCGACUCCAGAAACUAUAUCAUGCUAUCAAAUAUGUACUCUGCAGCUGGUUUAUGGAGGGACGCUUCGCAAGUGAGGGCUGUGAUGAAGGAGAAAGGUCUGGCGAGAACCCCAGGAUGCAGUUUUAUUGAGUAUAGAAAUGAAAUUCAUCGGUUUGUUGUGGGCGAUCAGUCUCACCCCGAGUCGGUGAGGAUAUAUGCCAAGCUGGAAGAAGUGAUUGGAAAGAUUCGGAAGGCUGGAUUUGUGUCUCAAACAGAAUUUAUUCUACAUGAUGUUGAAGAGGCAGUGAAAGAAGAUAUGAUCAGUGAGCACAGUGAAAAAUUGGCCAUUGCAUUUGGCCUUUUGGUGAUUAAUGCUGGCAUGCCAAUAAUUAUUACCAAGAACCUUCGAAUUUGUGGCGAUUGUCAUGGCGCUGCAAAGUUCAUAUCAUUGAUUGAGAAGCGAACUAUCAUAAUUCGAGAUUCUAAGCGGUUCCAUCAUUUCACUAAUGGUGUAUGCACUUGUGGAGAUUAUUGGUAAAUCCUGUGCACCACGCUAGCAGCUGUUUGGCACAAUUGACUUGGUCUAAGUCUCUCGGCCUACUUGCUAUCAGGUUUUCUGUUUUCUUAUAGCAUGGUGGUGCAGUUAUUUGUUUCCCAUGUCAAGUCGAAGCCAAUAUUCAAGUACUGGCAGCUGCCCAGGGAAUUGACCAAUGGUAAGAGUGUAUUUCAUUUGCUGGUAAUUUAUGCAUUGUUUCACUUAUCCCAGAAGACAUUUAGUGCUAAAUAAAUAGGGUAGACUCUUACAGAAAAAGUUCCUGUUACCAUAACAGGAAAGUUUGAUUUGCCUUUUAUUUCUACUAACAUAAACUCUACAGAACAUAGAAGAUAAAGAAAGAUUUGUUUUUUCUCCUUCUCCUAAUAUCAAGUGAACUUAUCCCAACUUAUCACUCCAUACUCUUUUAUUUCCUUCAAGCUUCUUGUGUUUUUAAUCACCAACAGCAAGCCUACAAAUACUAAGUUAGCAUGAGUGCAUGACCAUGUGGUAUGAGGCUGUUCUGACUUACUACCUAGGCCUUUUUACAUGCAGCCAGUGGAGAACCGCAGAGACAAUCGUUCCCCAAAAAUGCUGAAGCCGGAAACUUGGUGGCCGGGAGUUGUCCACACAGAUGAUUAUAGCUCACGUUCAGUCUGUCAAGCCCAAUCACUGCCUUAGGCACCUUCCCGAAUACCAAAUUCCUUGAUACAUCCAAGUGCUUCAAUGUCUGCACAAUCCUCAAGCUCUCAAGAUUAAACUUCAACUUGUUUCCAGAAGCCCAAAAACCCACCAAGUAAUCAGUCUUGUUCAGCAAUCCAAUCGGACUGCCCGUAAUCUGAUUCCAAGACAAAUCAAUGUAGUCAUAGUAAUAGGUCUGCGCAGGCUUCCAGUCCUCCAGCUUCAUCUUAAUCCCGCAGUUUGCAAGCUUCAGAGAGUAAAUAAUCGGCGAAGAAGUAACCCAUUUCGGAAUCUCCUUCAGAUGGAACUUGUUGUAAGACAAAUCAAGUGACUCAAUGCCUUUCACAUUCAGCUGCGGAAAUGGAUCCACAAGUUGAUUAUUUGAAAGAUCGAGAUUGAAGAUCUUGGUCAAAUUAGCAAGUGUGGUCGGCACAGUGCCUGUUAACAUAUUGUGACCAAGAUCAAGUGUGUCGAGGGUCUUGAAGUUUCCUAGAAACGCUGGGAUUUGACCGGUCAAUGCAUUGUGGCCAAGCUCAAGGUAGAUCAAUUUUGGCGCCAAAGCAGAGAUUGAAGCUGGGAUUUUCCCAGUAAAUUUAUUGCGGAAAAGCCUGAGAAUUCGGAGCUCGGGAAAUGAGGCGAAGAAGUCGGGAAUGGGACCCGACAACCCGUUUCGCUCGAGAGUCAAAAAUGUGAGCUUGUUGAGGUUUUUGAUGCCGUUUGGGAUCGACCCGGUUAAUAUGUUGCCGCCGAGUUUGAGCUGAGUCAACUGAGUCAGCUUAGAAAUUGAGCUCGGGAUCGGACCGGUGAAGCGGUUGAAGUAAAAGCUGAGUGCUUCGAGUUGGGUCAAGUUGCCGACGGAAGCGAGUAUCCGACCCGAGAGCUUGCUGUUUUCGAUGUAGACGUACUUGAGAUUGGGGAGGUGGAAAAGAAAA